UGGUGGAACCAUGAAGGCCCCUGGAGGUUCAGGCGCUACAAUAUCCAGGGAGGUUUUCGAGAGCAACCCUAAGGGCUACUUUCAAGGCCUCCGCUCUGGUAGCAAACAGAAUAAGUAGGUCCUGGACGUGCGUACGUACUAUGUAUGUGUAACAUAUAUAUAAAUAAGUACCAGUAUAGGUCUGUAGUAGUACUGGACUACUGGUACCGGUACGUAGUACUGUAGCUUGCUUUUGUUAUAUGGCGUUUGUAUAAUUGUAUGUGUAUAUGUAUGAAAAUGGAAAGAGUACGUACCUCUGGACUGGUACGUGCUCAUGAGCUUGCUACCUUUGUUUUUCAUAAUUAGAUAAUUUGUUACUCUAACUAUUAAAUAUGUUAAUACACUACCUUUUUAUAAAAUUUAUUAAUUUAGGCUUUCAAGAUUAAUUAAUUUAUUUAUUAAAAUUUCAAUAUCGACUAACUUUAAUCUGAGCCAAAUCUUCUUCAUGUAAAAUCUACUUUAUUUAGAAUUUAGUAAUUCAUGUUUGGAUAAAAAAAAUUAACAAAAAUAUAACAAGUUGGCUAAUUUUAAAAGGGUGUUUCUAUUGUCACCCUACAAACCACUUUGUUCACCUCACGUUCUUUUCACACCCCGUUUAUAUAUUUUUAAUUAUAAGUCUAUUUUGUUCACCCAUUUACAGUACCUAAAAUACUCUUUUUCUAUUUUUGCUUUGUUCACCCUAAAUUCUUUUUUCACCUUACAUAUAUUUUUUUCAAUUUCAGAUUUGCUCUUUCACCCAACAUUCGAUCUCUUCUCAACCCGCCUAUAUAUUUUUUAAUUUUAAUUUUAAUUUACUUUAUUCACCGAUUUACAAUAUACACAAUAUCAGUCUAUUCCAAUAGCCAUUGAAUACCAAAAACAAAAUGAAAUUGAAGAAAACCAUAAGAUUAAUAUCAUUUGGCCGGGUAAGUCGAAUCACAAACUUAAUAAUAAAAAUCAUAUUAAAGUAUAAAUCUGAUCAAUUAAAGAACAAGAAAAAACUCUCAAACUUAACAACUCAUUAGUAUCUGUGGAUAUCAAAAUGCACAAUAUCUGUAAACUCUACUUUGAAAAAGCUCUGACGCCGAUGAAAAAAAAAUUCGAAUAUAUAUAAGUGAUCGAUUAGACAUGAAAAUUUACAUACAAAAUUGAUAUGAGAAAUAAUAAAUAAAGGGAUAGACGAAGCAUCAACAAAGAAAAUAUAUAUAUAUAUAUAUAAACAAUUCACCUCAUUUUUAGUUGAAUGCUAGCUAGUGUCUUCUUCACACUUCAUAGAAAGAUCGAAUAUGAUAAAUUCUGGGUAUAAGGUUUCUGAAAUACGUGUUUAUCUAAAAAUAAUAAUUUGUAAUUUGUAACAACUUAUUGUCCCUUGCUAUAAUUUUACAUUAGGGUAUAUUAGUCAUUCAAUAAAUCAACAACGUGUGGGGUGAACAAAUUGGUUUAUGGGGUGGCAAUAGACGCGCCCUUUUAAAAAUAUAAAGUAGUAAAUUAGUAUAACUAAUAGUUAGGGUAGCAAAUUAGCUAAUUAUGAAAAGUUAGGGUAGUAAAUUGACUGAAAUAAAAGUUCGAGUAGCAAAUUGAUAUAUAUUAAGGUGAAAGGUAGAGUAGUAAUUUGGUUAAAACCUCUUUUUUGUUUUUGUCUUUUUUUUCCUUUUUCUUUAUUUGAAACGGUUUUACCAUAAGUUGAAACGAAACCAUAUCAUGUAAUAGGAAAAGUCGAGUUGAGUAAAUCACAACGCUAGCGGCUAUUAACCAAGCGCAGAUUUGCAGACUUUAAAUUCCCUUUACUGGGAAUAUGCAUCAACUUUUACCCUAUCAAUACAUAAGCACCUCCAAUUAAGUACAACAACUACAGUAUCAAUCGGGGUUAGUCGAUCAGCACACUUCACCUUGAUAUAUAUUAGAUGCAAAAUAAUAAUAUGGAAGCUGCAGAGGUUGUUGCACUUGCAUUAGGCGCCAUUGGCGCCGUUGCACUGUUGGUGUGGGGUUUCUCCGGAGAUUCUGAAUCUGCUGCAUCUCAAGUACUUGUUUCAUCGGGGUCGUCUUCGGAGCCAAAGAGAACAAAGUAGGGCUGGGCACUUAGUACCGGAAUCCCAAUCCCGUACCGGUCCCGUCCCGAAAGUUAGCGGGACAGGACGAGAUAGGUUUUGAAAAUAGUAAUCCCGUCCCGUCCCGUCCCGUCCCGUUUUAACAUUACCAUAACGGGACGGGAUGGGACGGGACUAUCCCGAAAAAUCCCGUCUCGUCCCAUAAUAUUAGAAUACUUGAUUUUAUUCAUUUUAUACUUGAUUUUUGGGUUGCAUGGUGUUACAAUGCACUCAACCACACUUAAUUUGGUCUAAAAUAAUACUUUUAAUUUCAUUCAUGUUCUUUUUUUUGCUUGUGUGAUUUUGGAUAUUUUUAGUUGUUGUUUGAGGGUUAAUUUUUAAUGUGGGAUGUUUAGUACUUUUAAAGUGGGAUGUAAUUUAGCACCUAUGCACCUAUGUUCUUGUUGUAUUUUAGUACUUCUAAUUUCAUCAAUGUUUCUUUUUUUUUGUUAUGUGUUUUGGAUUAUUUUUUUNNNNNNNNNNNNNNNNNNNNUGCUUGGAGUUUCUCAACCCGUUUUUCCACCCGUGGUGGUGUUUGAUAAUCAAUUAAUUUGUUCUUGAAAAAAAAAAAAAUUUGUCGGGAUCGGGACGUACGGGACAGAUUUUUAAAAACACCUUCCCGUCCCGUCCCGUCCCGUUCUUUUAUUUUCGGGACGGGACGGGAUUCACCAAAUCCCGGCCCGUCCCGUCCCGUGCCCAGCCCUAGAACAAAGAAGCCACCCAGCAUUCGUGAGCUUGAGGGAAUCGUAAGCGCUUUGGGACGUCGUUGAUGCCAUGGAUGCAUAUCAAUAAGUUAAUAAUGUUCUUAAUUAAUGGUCUAUGUUUUCUGCUAAUGGAACCCCUUAUCUUGGAUCCUACUCGCAUUUUGUCUUGCUUUUCUUCGUUUUAAUAUCUUCUUUUCUCUACUAAGCAGUGGUACAUCCAUCAAUCAUAUACGUACACACAAUGAAAUUAAUUUAUAUAUGCAUUUAUUUAUAUCAUUACAAAUUAUAAGUUUGAUUCCAAGUCAUAAACUUGGAUCACGGAUCAGUCAAAUGGGAUUGGAACCCUAAACCACAAUCCGUACCCCAUCUCACUUUAUUUUUCAUUGUUAACAUAGUUGGUAAAGUUUGUACUUUUAUUUGAUUAGUCAUCACGGGAGCACUUCUGUUGCGGACAGUUGUGGACUCAAUACAGAUUUUCAAACUAGGCUGUUGGAUUGUACGUAUGAAUGGUUUAUAUUUUAAAAAAAAAUACAUGUCUUUAUCAUGUGACUGCAUCACACAACAAAUCUUUCUCACUCCUCUUUCUUUGUUUUCUGGAAUUCUGGGGAAAAUUAACAGAUUUUUCUCUUUCCUUAACAAUAUCCACUUCAAUCCCUCCUUCACUUAUGGGCUGCUAUUACAGUUUUCAGUGGGAUUUCAUUUCUUUCUUUAGUGGGAUUCAAUCCUUACCAAUAUCUACAAGACUAUAAUUGUUGAUAUUAUGCCAAAAACCAAAGCAAGAGGGAGAGCUGAUAUAUCUCGGACACAGGAGAGAGAGAGAGAGAGAUCUAGAGAGAGAGAGAGAGAGGUNNNNNNNNNNNNNNNNNNNNGAGAGAGAGAGAGAGGUGGUAUUGGGUAAGGUUAGUUUUAUUUUGUUUUCUAAAAUAUAGACCAUCCAUGUAAUUUGAUAGUUAAAAUCAAAAGUCCUUAACAAGUCCUCAAAUAAGAAGUCCUCAUUAGAAGGGCUCCUAGUCAUCACACACCGCUCACAGUUUUGAUUUGAUCAUUUCUUAUUUUCCUAUUCUCACUACGCAAUCACUCUGAUCAGUAGCUCUUGACAUCCACCACAUCUAUAACGGUCAUAAUUAAAGGGAGCUUUUAUUCAUAUGCUCAUACCUCUAAAAACUUUACUUGAACCUCCUUGCUUAAUGGACCUCCAAUUUACUUUUACAAAUAAAUAAAAUGUUAUUUACACCUCUCCAAUUUUCUCAAAACGCCCAUAGUUCAAUAAAAUCAAUAAAAAUCUCUUUCUUUUAAAAGAUUCUCUUCAUACCUCCAUGUUUGGUAGUUAGACCUAGCCUCCUUCGAUUUUUAGGCAUCUGACAAUCAUAUUUUGCUUUCAAAAUCCAUCCAAUUGGUUCAAACCUAUUAUUAGCUAUAUCGAGCCGAGCUUGUUUGAUCAGACACAAUAAUAAUUAGCAAAUAAACAACUCUCCAAUAAGUUCCUGAAGCUCAUAAUUGAUAUUACAACAAAUGCGUUCAAACGAAAAUCAAAAAUACAUUGACAAAGAGAGGCUAAGAAACAAAAAAAAUAUGUCUAUAAAUUGCAUCAUCUUUCAAAAUGUCAUGCAUAUUGCAUAAUGUUUCAAGUUUUUCGUAAAAUCUUACUUAAUCAUCGAUUGUGAAUGAUUCUUGAUUUAAAUUUAUCUUUUCAACUUUUAUUGAUGUGGUUGACAAAGUCAAUACUAACUUAAAAAAAAACUCAAGUAGCACUUUUGGAGAUAUAAUUAGAAGCUUCCAUAUUUAAAUUGUCAGCUAGAUAAAACAAAAAAACAACUUCCUAAUUUAUCCCUUUCAUAGAAGACCAGGUCUAGGGUUUUGCAACUUUCCUAUGAUCUUUCUUCUAUAUAUUUUGUAUUCUCGAAGGAUAUUUUUUAUUUGGUUAGAUUUUAUAGAUAAAAUCAUAAACAUUAUCGGGUUAUCAUCCAUUAAUUUUUUUUUUUGACAAAGGACGAGAAAUCAAUUUUAUUGAUCACAACUUAAGAGUAUGAACAACAACAUGAACACGAUCCGCCCGCAGGGGCUACGUGAAAAUUGAAUCAUGCAAAAUUACCUAGUAGACCUACCUAGUAGCUAGACACUACGCAAUCUCUAUGUUGAGACCAUGGGAUGAAGCUCUAUGAUCAAAUAAUAACGUCUUGGCAGCAAAAGAACCUAACCAUCCACCAAGACUCAAGUAGGAAGGGACAAAUCCGCAGCCCAUCAUUAUUGACCACUUCCAGGACCACCCUACGCAGAGGGGGCAACCCCAGAGCAUCAAGUAAUCCUAAUUAAAAGAAAAAGCCCAAAACUAAGGAAUGCUCUAGACCCGCAAGUAGUCCUGGUUUAAGAUAAUUAAAAACAAAAAUAACAAAAACAGAAAUUGAGCCAGCCCAAUAACAGAAUUCAGUCCAAACUUCUAAAAGUAUGGCCCAAGCUCGAACCCUAGGGACAUGAAGAUCAAGGCAUCAACCAACCCAGACCAACCUUGCCGCCACCGUCGCCGGAAAACCAACCAUUGCACUCUCGCUCCUCUUUAGCCGAGACACCGCCAUCACGUUUUCAUUAGACCCUUCACAGAUCAAAGACACCAAGGUCACAAACACACAGCCAUCGUGCCAACAUAGAUCGGCAACCCGAUCCGAGCCAACUCGUGUAUUCGCGGUUGGAGCACUCCAAUUCGCCGUCAGACCAACAAAACCACAACCCGCCAUCACCUUUGACGCCAAACCAACCCACCACCACUCCCACGACUCCGAAGCAGCCUUGCCAACUCAAAAGACCCAACCACCAAUGUCAACCACCUUGAUGUCACUCUCCCUCAUCGUCGAUCUUACCAUACGAGACCAGAACACAAGCUCGAAGGGUUAUCAGAUUCCUUCUGGGGCGACAACGACAUCGGACGCACCGCCGGACGGAGAAGGAAGACUUUUUGAAAACCCUAUCCAUUAAUUUGUUGAAUUUUUUUAUUUUACUGUUGCCCAAGCUAACAACCAUAUAUGGUUAGUGAGUAGGAAAUCAGCAUAGACUUCAUUUGCAUCAUGAGAUGUAUGGAUAUAUAUAUAUAUAUAUAUAUAUAUAUAUAUAUAUAUAUAUAUAUAUAUAUUGCUAUAAAGUGGCAGAGAAUGAGGUUUAGUCCCCACUCCCCAGUGUCCUCCUAAGUCCUAACUAAGGGGGGUCAUGUCCUAUAAGGCUUCAUUGUUUCAUGGAAAGUAAGCAUCAGGAAAUGAAAGUUGUUCAUUUCCAGUGUUUGGGAAAGCACAAGGAAAGGAAACACUUUCUUGAUUCAUGGGAAAAUAUGGGGAAAGUGGUUCCCUCCAAAAUCCUAAUGAACCACUUUCCUUUCUUCUUUCCCAUUUGUUGAUACCUAAAAAAUCAAUAUUUAUGCUCAAUGGAUAUUCUAAGCUCAAUAAAGAAAUACACAUGCAAAUCACAUUCGAAAUACAAAAGUUACAUAUUUAUUCGAAUAUUUAUGCCAUGCAUGUGGAUCUAAGCCACAACUACGCUCUUAUAGCUUACAAGUUUGGGUGUGGUGUGGAAGGUAACGGAAGUACAUGAGGCUUAUUCUCGGUUUUGGUUAUUGGUGAUUUUGGACUUAGGACCGAAAUCCAUGCCCAACAAUCUAAACCGUUUAAUGGACUUGCAAAUAUGAGAUAAUCCAAACCCAUAUGCUUAACCUAAUCACCUACCUUAACCCUAAUGCAAUAAUCUUUCUACCCGAUCAAACAAGCAGUAUUUUCUUUAAACCCCGUAGUAAGUCUAAUCCUCUUCUUCUACACUAAGCACAAGUCCCCAUCAGCCUUUUCUUUUACUCUGUUCUAAGCUCUAGCCUCCACAAGCUAUUCAAAUAGACACAUCUAUCAACACACAACAACAGCUUUCCUUAAAAUAUGUUGCUCCAAUUCCAACUUCACACAUAACAACUUGUGGUCCUACGGUGUUUUGUAUAAUUGAACUCAACAUGAUACAUCUCUUUGAUUGUCCAGCAGACUUGCCUCAUUCACCUGUGUAUUAGCCUCACCCCUUCCAGCCUAUAAAUUAAGGCCUUAAACACAACACAACUCUCACGCAGCAGAACACAUACCUACAACCCAAUGCAUCCCACAAGCAAGCCUCAAGCAUCAUGCCAAACAUCCUUCACUCCAAAAACCAGCUUCACCUUUAAACAGUCUCAAACUCAUCCGCCACCACCAAAACCUUUUUCCCUCCUCACCGUAGCAAGUCUCUCAUCUUCUGUAAUUCAUGUGCUUCUAGCUCCCACGCCACUUGCCAUCUUGCAAGCCUUUUUUAUGUACUUUGUUCAUCUAUCAUGCAAUCAAAAUCACAUCACGUUCAUGCCUCUAGAUCACAAGCAACAUAUCACUGCAGCAGGCUAUCAUCCCCGUAACAAGCCAAUAUUACUGCAGGGGAGAUCUUAGGGAAAACACGCACAAAGCUCUUUGAAGCUUUAGGCCUAGUUCUUGAACUCAGAAGGGGUAGAAAGAGGAAAUCAAGUCAUUCAAGCAAAUCUAGCAACCUCUAUUCAAAAUGACCCCAACACCUGCAUUUAUUACUCAUAACACAAUAUUUUAUUAUAUUAAAUCUCAACUCUUUAACAACUUUCCAAUAGAUUUUCCUGGUGUUACCAAAUAUCGGAAUGGAAAGUUUUUGUAAAAUUUCAUUCUCGUUCCCUUUCUCUUCCUAUAGGAAAGAGGAAUGAACCACUUUCCAUGAACCAAACGAGGCCUAAAUAUAAUACUUAGGUUGGGUUUUAGGUCAUGUGUUAGUACCAUGUGCCUUACACAUUGAACUACUAGGGUACAACAUCUAAAGAAGAUCAUGCACGACCAUAAAUCAAGGACCCCAUGUUGUCGCUUAAAGCAAUAAUGUAACACCCUGACCCGGGUGUUAGAAGAAUAAACGAAUAAAAUAAAAAAAGAAAUCCUAAAUCGAAAAUGAGAUAGGAUCUCAUAAUCAAACAAAGAAAAUGUUUGUUGCGUUUGGAACCUAAAUUUUGUUUUGUUUAUUUGCGGCUGCACCCGAAACUUGAUCAGGCUGCCUACGUACCCUUUUAAAGGGAUCAAGCCACUCGUAGUUCAACAUUUUAAUCUACUUCUCUACCUUCAUUAACAACAUCACAUUUACCACCAUAAGUCCAAAAUUAAAACCCUGCUUACGGACUCCUAAGAACCAUUUCAUGAUACACACCAAUUUAAAAUAUUUUCUUCUAUACCCAUUAAAUCAAAUCAACCCGGCCAUACAAAGCAUCAUGCAUCAACAAAUCUAUACCAAUUUAUUAUCAUUCUAAUAUAAAGUUCCAGGAGAAUAAUUAUACUCAUCAACUUAACCAAACCCCACACUUAACUCGCAAAACAACCUACUCAAGUGCCAAAGAGUGUGUAUAAGUACGCACACAUACUUAUAUACAUAUAAAUAUAUAUACAUAUAAAUAUAUAUAUAUAUAUACCCCAUCAAAAUUUCCGUUAGAAUAAUAUAAAACUCAACUUAUGCAAAUCAUCAACAUUCAUUCUUUCACCUUGAACCCAAGUUUACUAAACAUUCUAACUAGAUUUACUAUGGACACCCAUUAGAUAUACUAUGGACACCCAUUUCAACUAAAACCAAUCCCAAAUCCAUACAUAACACUCCAAUAUCCACUUCAAUGCAUAAGCACAAUCCAACAACUGUCUAACAGUAAUAUUCAUAUACCCGGUUAUCAAUUUUAACCGUUAAUAUCGCUAGUCUUCGGAAAAUCCGAAACCUAACCUACAUUACUCCAAAAAUUGCUAACUUUCCACCAAUGGGCUUCUCUCAUUUUUAACAAUUUAAUAAGCAUGAAAAACUGCCCAAAAAGUGGCAACACCGCCGCCCGCUCCGCCGGCGGCGGCGGCCAAUCUCCGGCCACCCCCAAUCGUCACCAAAAUUUGACAGAACCUUCCUCUCAACAUUUCGAACAACUUUCAUGAACAACACUAAGCUCAAUUCUAGCUCUAAAUAGUUCAUUUAAUCAAGAACAAUAAAACCCGAUUUGGGGCUAAAAACCCUAAAAUUUCGAAAUCUCAAAUUCUCCUCACACACACCAUGAAUCGAGUUACAAGCUUCUAGAGGAAUGUUAUACUAAUCAAACCCAACCUAAUCAUAUAAAGAACUCACCGAUUGGUGGCCUAAGGAGGGAGAAAUCCGGCUAAAACAGCGACGAACAGUCGUACCUUCUCGCCGUGAUUUCUCCCAAAAAGCGGCGAGAGGGACGCUAUCACCACUCUAGAUCGAUAGGUCUCCUCCUUAGCUUCCUGCCGAUACCCGGAUCGCCGCCCAAUUCGGCCUGACGGCGGCGCACGAAGCGGAGAACAGUGGCGGGAGAGAGAGGAUCGCUCGGGAGGAGAGAGAGAGGUGCGGUAAGUUUCUGAUUUUUCUACCUCCCACCUUCGGUAAGUUUCUCUUUUUAUACCCUUUACCAAAACAGUAACCUCCCGUUUUUAGACCAUAACUUUCUCAUACGAACUCCGAUUUGAGCGUGCCACGUGUCCACGAACUCGUAUUAACGUUCUCUACGACUUCCAUAAAGAAAGUUUUCCCAAAUUAUCGACUUAACAAAAAGUAAACUUUUUUGGUCCUUUACGGUAAAACAGUUACAAGAAACAAUAAUUGAAAAUUUACUAUAAACUUCAUAAAUUCACAGAGCAUAGCUCGUCGCUCCGGAAAAUAAUCCGGGCAUACCGGUGAGCUCGUAUAAACGUGUACCACGACUUCGGAGUUUUAAAUCCACUAUUUAUCGUUUUCAGAAAAACUCGAAAACAACUCGAGCAAUCACUAUUUAAAUCUCUGAGCGCUAAUAAAGAAAAAUCUGUGGUAACUCAUAACCCCGAACAGUAACCUUUUUGGUACGGGGUAUUACAAAUAAUAAUAAGAAACUUCUUCCAUGCAGCGCUCCAUUGCCCAAGCAGAUUGUAAUUGUAUCUGUUCCUGUUCCGACGUAGUCGUACUAGAACUUGAGUUGUUGGAGCUUCCAUGUUCUUGUUCUUCUGAGAAUGGGUUAUGAAAGCCGUCACCAAAAUUACUCUCACCAUCUUGAGUGGGGAGCCGCCUCAAAAUCUCUUCCAUCAUUCUGUGCAAAUUCUCAUUGGACCGCUUCAACUCAUCUAUCUCACCACGUUGAUGAACAUCAUCAACAUGAGCUGAACGCCUACGAGUUCCACGCCCUCAUACCAUGAUGGCUAUUAAUAGAACGCACCCUCCAAGAACCGGCUUUGACAGCAGAUUGCCCGCUCUGAUACCACUUGAUGCAGGUGUAUACAGAGAGGAGGAGGGGGGGGGGGGUUUGGAUCCGGGAAUCACUCAACCAGGAAAGAGGGGUUUUUUUUUGGAAUCACUCACCAAAGAAAACAGAGAAUAUACUCUGAAGCAAACUUUCAAUAACAUUAAUCUGCCCAACAAGGCCAAUGUUACAAGAUAUAUAUAUACACACACACAUAGAGGAUGUGAAGCGGACGUCCGCACUCGGUUUAAAGUGCGGACGUCGUCCGUUCUCCGCCGUCUCACGCCAGCGACGACUUCUCUCCUUCCCGGACGACAGCACAGACUUCCAGGACGGCUUCUCUCCUUCCAGGACUGGCCGGCGACAAGUUUUCCGGCCAACCUUGAUCAAUCAUGGUGUUUUCCGUCCAGCGCUUCAGUCCUGGAAUAAGAGAAACCGUCCUAGAAGCCUGUGCUGUCAUCCGAGAAGGAGAGAAGCCGUCGCCGGCGUGAGACGGCGGAGAACAGACGACGUCCGCACUUUAAGCCAGAGUGUGGACGUCCGUUUCACAUCCUCUCUGUAUAUAUAUACAUAUAUAUAUACACAGGCUGGUUCCAAAGUGCACGGCCGUGCUUUUACAAAACUGUGCACGAAUCUUUUUCAGCCGUUCAUUGUUUUAAAUGACAAGCAACGGCUAAGAUGAAAAGUCUCUCUUAAAACCCAAAGUGGGUCAAAUAUAUAGCAUUGCCCGACUGCUCGACUCUUCAGUCUCUCUCUCUCUCUCUCUCUCUCUCAACGAUCUCGUCUCACACUUCUCCAGCCAAAAUCGUGAAAUUCCAAUUCAUGUCUUCUCGAUCUCGCCUCUGGUUUCACGAUUGGUGACAAGCCUAACUUUCUCUUUUCCUUUCUCUCACAGAAAUUGAAGUACUCGAUCAUAUGAUAUAUAUCAAUGAUGGAGCUUUGGCCCUAAAAUUGGAGAUCUGGGGAAGCACGAAAACUCAUCUAGAGUUACUCAAGUAUGGGUUCUCUCUGUUUUGAUAUACUUGAUUUCUAAUUACAAAACAUAGGGUUGUUUUUGUUCUUUUUAUAAAAGAUGUUGUAAUUGGGAAUUUUUUUUCCUUUCAUUUCUACUGGUGAUAGAGAGAAGAAGGAAACGAGGAGGAAGAAAGAAAAGAAAGAAGGGAACAACGGAAGGGAAAGAAAAAGGGGAAGAAAGAAAGGAAGUUGAGUAGGGAGCAGAAAAUUUGGGAAAUCAAAGAAGAUUGGGAGUUUGGCAGAUUCUUUCUUGUUUCAGUUUUAUUGUGGUCUUGAUAGUUUGAGGUGAGUGGCUAUUCUCCUUACAAUUUAUGUGGUUAUGAUUCUCCUUGUUUAGUCUACCUUGCUAAAUUAAGAUCGAUGAUGGUGAGAUUCAAUUGUGAGGGACUCCUUUGUUUUACAACUACACUUGUUUUUGUUAUUUGCUUUAUUGUGGCUCUGUCAAAAGUUAUGAUUCUGUACAUAAUUUGGUUAUGUGUUACUGUUUACUUUUUGAUAGAUGAAUGAGAUGUGGAUUUUGUGUGUUUGUGUUGUGAUCAGGUCAAUACCUAUUACUUGGAGCUAAUUUGAGAGUUUUCUAUCUUCAUCUGAAUUGGUGUUUAUGAUUUCACGUUUUGUUGUGUUUACUUUGAUUGAUAUAUAACAGGGUCUUCUUAGUGUGAGAUUUCAUAUUUAUUUAAGAGUCUCCAAUUGCUUAGCGGAUUAGUAUUUAUGUUCUGGUUUUCUCUUAUUGUUGCAGCUAGCAUUGUUAGCAUAUACAAUCUGGGCACUCUUCUUGUCUCAUAGCUAAAAGGAAAUGAAGCUUGUCUCGACAGUUUAUUACUUUGCAAAUCAAUUUGACGCAGAGACAUAUUCAUAGUUCGAUAACAGAUUGUGGAAAGGAAUGUAAUUUGUAGAUGAAUGUUGUAUUAUUAACCCAUCAGAGAUUACAUGAAUUUUGUCAAUUGUUCCCUAUCUAUUGAAUUCAGUUUCAUCAUCUUUUUGGUGUUUCUUGUUGGUGUUUCAUUACAGAGAAACUGAUUGAAUCCUUCUAGUUUCAGUUAUGCAUAGCAGUAACAUAUGUACCACUGGAGACUUCAAUUGCGUAUACCAAUAACAUAAGUUGGAAUAAUACUGAGAAUGUGGAUCAUGCUCAGGGAUUUAUGUCAAUUUGGUUGGAGUUGGGAAUAAUACUGAGAAUGUGGAUCAUGCUCAGGGAUUUAUGUCAAUUUGGUUGGAGUUGGGUAUAUGAGUUGCACACUUGUUCAAAGGCAUUGUCUAUGCAAUACUUCAUUUAUUUUUGACUUUGUGCAAUACCUAUGAACUUCAAAACUGGCAGCAGUAUAUGCAUACGCCAAAAUGACAGUGCAAUACCUUUGUAUCCACCAAAACUGGCAGCAGUAAAUGACAGCAACUACUGUAAUACACCAACAUUGUUUCUUUAAAGGACAGUAAAAUGACCAGUAGUAUAUGCAUACAGCAAAAUGACAGCAACGCCAAAAUGUUCAUACACCAAAACUGGCAGCAGUAAAUGACAGCAACUACUGUAAUACAUUAACAUUGUUUCUUUAAGGACAAUAAAAUGACCAGCAGUAUAUGCAUACAACAAAAUGAUAGCAACACCAAAAUCACAGCAAAAUGACAUAUACACCAAAAUGACAGCAACACCAAAAUCACCGCAAAAUGACAGCAAUGCCAAAAUGUUCAUACACCAAAAUCACAUAUCAUCAUUGUUUCUCUUUAAUGAGUACAGACCUAUAAAUAAGGCCAACCAAAAUUCAUUGUUUCUGAGAUCUAUUCAAGGCAUACAAAAAUUAUGUGCAUCUGCAGUCACAAAAUGAGAGAUAUUCUGCAAAAUCUGCUACUUUGUACAGAGUGAGGUUCAUUCACAUAGAACAUUGUCAAAUGAUCUCCUUAUACAUUAUUCUACAAAAUAAAACAAGCAAUAGGCUGAUAAGUCAGUUCUUAUCAAGUUAAAUAAAAUGUUGAUUAGUUUUAACAAUAAAACAGCAACCAAUUAAAUAGAAUAGUGUAUUAUCAAGCUUGUAAUGAAUUCACCUGUAAAUGAACAACUAUCCUCAUCAAUGCUACUUGAACUUAAAUCCCAAUCUUUACUAAUAGCAGGUCUACAUAAAUGAGCAAGAAUAUAGAGAUAUGUAUCAAUCAAAAAAUUCUGAAAACAUAAACAGUAAUACCAAACACAAUUUAUUAUAGAUUCUUACUUUCCUAGAAGUGUUGGACAAUUUCUUUUGUCAUGUGACUGACCAUAUAGUCCGCAUCCAUGGCAUUUUUUACCUUGACUAUCCUUUGCCUUAACUUUCCUCUUCUCUCUUCCUUUCUUCAACCUUCUCCCACACCCUUUUUCUCUAACUUGAUCUGGUUCAUUAAAAACAUGCUGAAUAGUAACAGUCUCGGUCUCUAAAACUACUGUGCUCUGUCCACUUUCAUUACCAAUAUUUAGUGAUUUAAAAUUCUCCAAGAAAGCAUCCAACGAAUCCAUUAGGAGUUGGCUAGCCUCAUCACUAACGAUUGCCUUAUCAAUUGCAUCUGUAGCAUGCUGGAACAAUUUAGUCCUCCUUGCAAGUAAAGUUUCGGUAUCUGUUAUCUCUCCUCCAUCAGAAUCUAACACAAGACUCUGCCUUGCUUUCUUAGUCCAUCUCUUCAAGAUGUACUGAAUAGGCAAUUUAUCAACAUCUUGAAUCUUAAUCAAAUAUGACAAAACAUGUCGACAUGGAAGCCCUUCACUCUCCCACUUUCUACAGCUACAUGAUACAAAAUCAGAAUCUUUUUCAUAAGUGAGUUCACGAGACUUGCAAGUAUCAAUGUUCUUUCUCACUGCUUUGCACACACAAGGAGUCUCAUUUUCUCUUAGAAGUUCUAAUUUAUAUUUGAAGCUCUCUUUCAACUGUUCUUGAACUUCAUAAAAUAACUUGUGUGUGUAAACCUUGGCCAUAUGAUCUUCUAUUUCAAGGGACAUGACAGUUUUUGCCUUCUCUUCAAUAUUAAUAUGAUCCUCCUCUAACUCAUAGUGGCGUUGGUGAAGAAGUCCCCUCUUAAACUGAACCAUAAAUUCCACCAAAGAAUUCGACUGAGAAACAUAAUUCUUGAAGAAAGAAUGCUGACUCUUUGCUCUUUGACUACUUGACAUUCCAGCUGAGAAACAAUGAUUAUUUACAUGUGCUAGUAUCCAUGAUGAACGAAUCUCGUAUAUCGACUCCAACCACUUGUUAUCACUCAAUCCACUCUUCUCAACAAUUUCAGUCCAUCUCGAGUCAAACUCAUCUCCACUAUUUGAAUUCCAUAUGCAGCUAUGAAAGUCUUGGUAGUAAUUUCGAUAUUUAACCGCAUCUAGCUUCUCUGAAAAUUUAUUGAGAAUGUGCCAACUGCAAUAUCUAUGAAAUGUCUGUGGAAGUGCUUCUGAAAUGGCUUUAGUCAUAGCAGGAUCUUGGUCGGUAAUGAUCAUUGUGGGGGCAUUUUCCGAGGCAUUUCCAGGCAUAGCAUUUAGAAAUUCUUUGAAUAACCAAACAAAAGAAUCUGCUGUCUCGUCAUUCAAAAAUGCACAAGCAAAUAUGAUAGUCUGUCCAUGAUUAUUAACACCAGUGAAUGGUGCAAAAAUCAUUCCAUACCGAUUUGUGUUGUAUGUAGUAUCAAAAAUAACUACAUCCCCAUAAAAGCUGUAAGCUCGUCUUGAGAUUGAGUCAGCCCAAAAACAUCGUGUUACUUUGUUUUCCUCAUCUGAUUCCAUUCUAAAGACAAAAGAAGAUUCUUUUUCUUUUUCGUUUUGGAAAUGCAUGUACAAUAGAUCUCCAUCAUGCCCCUUCUUCUCUUGACGAAUAUUUCUUCCAUAAUUAUAAAGAUCACAUUGUGUACAACCAAUGUUUUCAAUGCCACCUGCUUGAACACCAAAGAAUUCGAACUGUUUAUGUUUCUUCACAUUUACCAAGCUUAAUUGCUCAGAUAGAACUUUGUUGACUUUUGAAAUACGACGAUGAGACUUCAGUAAAUAUACCCUAGAUGGGCUUGUUAAUGCGUGGUUGUGCCUUCAACAAAUACAGAGAUUGCAUAUCUUCCAGUUUUCUUUCUCACAGCUGCAAUCCUUGCUUUACAACCCACUUUUGGUAAUCCUCACUUACGUUUUUCUCCCUAAACCUUAGAAUCUCCUUCCUUAUAACAGACAUACUGCUUCCUCAUAACAGACAUACUGCUUCCUCAAAUACAAAGAUUGCAUAUCUUCCAGUUUUCUUUCUCACAGCUACAAUCCUUGCUUUACAACCCACUUUUGGUAAUCCUUACUUACGUUUUUCUCCCUAAACCUUGGAAUCUCCUUCCUUAUAACAGACAUACUGUUUUCUCAUAAGUGUAGUAUUAUCCUUGCUCAUUGCACUAGUAUGACUUCUAAUACUAAACUCUGCUUUUUUUGCAUAUCUAUUGUAGAAAGCAACAACGUCAUCCAUUGUUUCAAACUCUUGUUUUAAUUUAGGAACCACCUCAAACUUCACUUGAGGAAUAUAAACUUGAUCAUCAUUUGACUCCAUAUAUGUAACCGAAACUGAAAACCACACAUACACCGAACAUUCUUUUGUCAGUCAGCAAUCCCAAUGAAUUGAAAAGACAAAAUUCAACCAAUGUUAAUCAAUUGAAAAUACUAAAGAAUUUGGUGAAUGUUUUUCAUCGCCACCAGCUAGAUAUAUAUGAGAAUCAAAUCAUAACUUCAACAAAGAAACAAAAAUAGAAAUCUAGAAACAAUAACAAGAAAAGCCCCAAAUAUGAUAAACCCUAAAUUUUGUAAUUGGAAAAUCAAACAUACCAGAAAAGAGAGAACCCAGACCGAUCUAUAUACGUUUAUAUGUUUUCAAAGCUCCACCUUUUGGAGCGAAAACUCCAAGGCUAGCUUUUUGUACCACAAGAUUGCAAUAUAUAAUAGAGAAAGGAAGAAAAAGAAAGCUUUGAUUGCAAGAACUGUGCAACUGAGGAGAGUUUGAUCAUCAAUGGCGAGAAGACAUGAAUCGGAAGACAACGAUUAUGGUUGGAGAAGAGAUCGUUGAGAGAGAGAGAGGGAGACUGAAGAGUCGGGCAGUGUAUUCCUUGCUAUUUGACCCGCUUUGGGUUUUAAGAGAGAAUUUUCAUCUUAGUCGUUGCUUUUCAUUUAAAACAAUAAACGGCUGAAAAAGAUUCGUGCGCAGUUUUGUAAAAGCACGGACGUGCACUUUGGAACCAUCCUCUGUAUAUAUAUAUAGGACUAAUUUCAGUUUACCCCAUCAAUUUUAGGUCGAUCAUUAUGUUAGUUUUUCUUCUUUCACUUUCAUCAAAAACACCCUUUAACUCCCAAUUUUCGUCAGCCGCGUAUGUCCAAAUCUCCAAUCUCUAUCUAAUUCCUCUGUCAAGUGAUGAUUUGAUAUCAAGAAGAAAGUCAAAUUCUAAAAGUUACCUUUCGGACCAUUUUUCCCCCAUAUCGAUACACAUCUUCGUUCCCAUCACAACCCCCUAACCUUAGUGAUUUUAGUAGGAUUGAAUGCAAUUUGUCUAUUUUUUCUUUUUCUUUUUUCUUGAUAUCAAGUCAUCACUUGACAGAGGAAUUGGAUGGAGAUUGGAGGUUUGGACAUGCGCGGCUAAUGAAAAUUGAGAGUUGAGAGGUGUUUUUAAUGAAAUCGAAAGAAGAAUGACUAACAUGAUAAUCAACCUAAGUUAAUGGGGUAAACUGAAAUUAGUUCAUAUAUAUAUAUAUAUAUUGGAAUUCAAAUUUCAAUAGGACUCUCACUAUGACCUGACUUAACAACUUUCUAUACGCAUGACUAGACCAGCAAUUAAAUUACUUUGCACUUCCAAUGGAUAUUAAUUAUAUUGAGAUAGACUCUUAAAUGAUCAUCAACUAGCCACUAGCUUUAUAAAGCACCAGCUUUAUAUAAAGCACUAGCUUCUCCAAAGCUGUAGUUUUGAUCCAACGCUAUUAAGCUACCAUUAAUAUAAAAUGCCACCGUCCGAGUAAAUAUCCUUCACCAGAUCAAUAGCAUUCGCUUUGAAAGAAAAUAGGAAGAAAUGGGAGGUAAUGAAAGCAGGGAAAGCUCUAAACAGGAAGGAGGAGGUGAAAAUGCUGCUGCAUCGUCCGGUGACGUCGACUCUGGGUUGACAAAAGGAGCAGUCGCCGCUGGCGCUAUCGCCGGACUCGCCGCUGUGGCUUUGGGCGUAGCUAAAAUACUUUCGGAUUCGUCAUCAUCAGGAGGGGAGAGAAAAACCAUGAAAGCGCCCGGACAAGAUAACCAGAGGAUUGACAGGGACGAGUUUGAGCGUGACCCUGCUGACUAUUUCAAAAACUUGCGCAAGUCGAAGAAAUAGUACGUAGUAGAUCACUAGCUCAUGCUUCUUCUUUGUUCAUGCAAACCCUAUUCAGCUUCAUGCAUUAUCCUAGCUUAUCUGUGUUCUAGCUUGUACCUGAAAUCUUUAUGCUUUAUCUAUGUUAUUGUGAUUAAUUAGAGUCUAUGAUUGCCUUGUCGUGUUGGAUCUAUUCCUGUUUAUGCAGAGUCCGUAUCUUUCGUUUUAACUUCCAGUCUUCGAUCACUAAGAAUGCAAAAUGAAGAUGUUUCAUAAUCAACAUUCAGUUAGGUAAAAAUAACACGUACAUUCUUUACUGGAUCGGAUGAAGUGACAAUGUAUAAGAAUGGAACCUGACUUGGUUUAGAGUCUUGAGAGUGAAACAAGGUCGAGUGAUCGAUUGCUGACUAAAUCAUCAAGGAGAGUAAAGUGACGGGAAGGCCGGCAUACCUCUUCGUCCUCUACUGCAUGCUGCCGUUCAUUAUCAUCACCAUCAUCAUCGUCUUCAACAAAUCUGAGUCUCUCAAUUCAAAUGGUGCUCAUGAGUUUCACAAAGUUGGAAAAUAUUCAAUUGUCUCGCAGCAAUGGAUCUGGAGAAUACUUAAGAGAAAGAGACGAAAGAGAGAAUGGACGAAUAGAUCUAAAGAACGAGACCAAGAGUGAAAAAAUGAGAGAGACCGUGUUAACUUGAAAACCCAAAAAUCUCACAAUAGUACUAGCCAAGGAGGGUUAGGAGGCUGAGAGCAAAAAACAUGUGUUAAGUGGUACCCUUUAUUUUUGUACUCCCCCUUACCAAACACAGAUCAAACCACUUAAUACCUCUUAUCUAGUACAAUACCCUUUAGUCCCAAAUACCAAACAUACAAUUGGGGUACAACAUCUAAAGAAGAUCAUGCAUGAUCAUAGUCAAGGACCACAUGUUGUCUCAGCAAUAAUAAUAGGCACCGAUGGGCAAUAAUAAUGCAUGUCUUAAACGACGGAAGUUGUAGCGGAGCAACGUAGCAUUUUCUAAAACAUCAACACGUACGUGUUUGGUUGUUAGUGGCUGGUCGUAUAUGUGAGGUGGUACGUUUGCCGUACGUAAGAACUUCUCCGUUGAUAUGUACUCCGACGGUGGUGCUUUAUAUAAAGCACUAGCUUUGAUCCAAAAAAUAAAAAAUUUGAUCCAACGCUUUAUAUAAAGCACUAGCUUUAGAAACCACUAGUUUUAUAUAAAGCACUAGCUUCUCCAAAGCUCUAGUUUUGAUCCAACGCUACCAUUAAUAUAAAGCACCAAAGGUCUACCACCCUCCGAGCACAUAUCUUUCACCAAAUCAAUAGCAUUCGCUUUGAAAGAAAAUAGGAAGAAAUGGGAGCUAGUGAAAGCAGGGAAAGCUCUCGACAGGAAGGAGGUGAAAAUACUGGCGCUAUCGUCGCACUGGCCGCUGCCGCUAUCGCCGGACUCGCCGCUGUGGUUUUGGUCGUAGCCCGACUUCUUUCGGAUUCAUCAGGAGGGGAGAAAAAAACCAUGAAAGCGCCCGGACGAAAUAACCAGAGGAUUAAAAGGGACGACUUUGAGCGUGACCCUGCUUCCUAUUUCAAAAGCUUGCGCAAGUAGAAGGACCAGUAGUAGAUCACUAGUUCAUGCUUCUUCUUUGUUCAUGCAAACCCUAUUCAGCUUCAUGCAUCCUAGCUUAUCUGUGUUCUUGUACCAGUAAUCUUUAUGCUUUAUCUAUGUUAUUGUGAUUAAUUAGAGUCUAUGAUUGCCUUGUCGUACUGGAUUUAUACCUGUUAUUUAUGCAGAGUCCGUAUAUUUCGUUUUAACUUCAGUCUUCGAUCACUAAGAAUGCAAAAUGAAGAUGUUUCAUAAUCAACAUUCAAUUGGGUAAAAAUAACACGUACAUUCUUUACUGGAUUGGAUGAAGUGACAAUGUAUAAGAAUGGCCUUCCAUAUUGAAGAGAGAACUCGAGUCCAUCACAAUUGACGAUAUCCCUGCUUCCAUGACAACGUUCUUGAUAGCAAAUACAGUUUGCUAGUGACCUAGUGUGUUCCAUCCGCAUCGAAAUCGGUGAAUCAGACAUCGCUCAAUUCAGAUGUUUCAUCCAAAAUGUCAUGCUUCCAUCUCUAUGGUUAUGAUCAUGGGAUGUGGUCCGGUGUAAAAAUUGUGACAUGAUUGUACAGCUUGAUCGUGAAGUCCACAAAAUGUGAAUAAUUUAUAGAGUUUUAUUGAUGCAUCUCAGAUUCUCAGUACAAGGAAUACAUGUAUUAAUAAAUUAAAAUCCUGACAAAAAUUGGCUUCAUCUGCUUCUCUUUCUCUGGCCAAGACCAUAUCCUUAACUAUUGAAUAGAUAUCCGUAUGAGUGAGACUGAGCUCAAAACGCAACAAUAAAGAUCAGAUUACUGGUAUUGCGUUUGUAUGAACCUUGAUUCCUUGAAUGAGAACCACAGGUGAUGCGCAAACAACAUAACAAGAGUUGAGCUGAUCAUCUUCUUCUCCUCCCCUUGCCUUUUCCUAAUUGCCCAGAUUUCAUAGCAUGUUCUUGCUCUUGAAGGAAAAGUCUUGCUUUUCCAUAUUUCUCAGCUCUCUCUUGUUCCAUCAAAGCCUUAUCCCUCGACUUCACCUCCUGCAAGAAAUAAUUAUCUUUACGCAGUUCACGGACAGCACCUUUAGCUUCUUGUGUCAAACGCUUCUUCAACUUCUUUCUCUCAACCCGUUCACGGUCUGGAUCGUAGUCUCUGCCCUUGACAAAGCUGCAGGGAACAACAUACCAUCCAAUGGUUAGCCUAGCCAUUCAGAUACAUAUAGUAAGACACUAGAGGGAACAGGGAUUAAAAUAAAUUACUUCUCCUCAAAUUUUGGAUUGAGCAUUUUGAUAGCCACUGGCUUUUGCUUCCGCAUCUGAAGUGGUUGCCGCCGCAAGCAGUGUUUAUCUGCUUUUGUCUUGAUCAGUUGAGCAACCUCUUUAAAUUUAUCAGUUAAUGCACUUGGCAUAUUUUCUUGUUCCGACAAUUCAAGAACCAAUGUUGAAAUCGGCAAAAAGAUUUCGGGGAAAGAACUGAAUCCUUCGUAGAUAUUGACAUAUCCACGUAGAGUUUCAAUUACAGUCACCAGCACACUAGACCUGAAAAUUGUAAAUUUGACAUAAAGAUAUAACAAACAAACUUAAAAAGUAUAACAGACAACAAAUGGCAUAUGAAAAUUCAAAGUAAUAAUAACGAAACCAAUUUAUAUGCAAAAAUUUACAGAAUUGCCACAACUCUAAAACGUAAUCAUUAGAUGGUGGCAUCGGUCAAUGUGAUGUGAUUUGAGGGUUCAUUUCAUAAGCACCGAAUCUCAGCCUAACGCAUCAUAUGGGCACAUAUUAUCAUAACAUAUUAUCAAGUACUGACAAACUCCAAACCUGAAAUUGUUGGAGGUGAAAAAUGACGAGUCUUCUGGCAGGUCCAUAAUUGUGAGAAAAUUAAGUGGAUCGAUCUGAUUUAUACAUUCAUGUAUAAGUAAAAGGGGUCUGGGUGCUUUUAGUUCCAUAAGAUGAUCAAUCUGCCACAAUAUAAAGAGAGUACGGUUAAUUCAUCAAGCAACCAUAAACUAGACUACCUCAGUAUUCUCUACUAAAAAGACUAUGUUGAGGCGUGUUCUUACCUCAGAAUCUUGAGUAGGCUUUGGUUUUCUCUCUUUGGCCGCCAUUAACAAUGUUUGAAGAAAUGUGACUGCUUCGGGACAGAACUUCCGAGAUUGUUUAGUGAUCUGCAUUGCAAUACAACUAAUUAAGCCUGUAAAAUAAAUACAGCAGAGGCAAAGAAACACAGGCAUGGAACAGUUCAAAACGAUUGAAAGUUACAGGUUAAGGUUAAUUUAUUAUAUUCACAUAGGAGUCACAGGCACUCAAUCAACUUGUCUCACGUGUUUAAAUAUUAGGAUUACGAACAUGAAAGAAAGACAAAGGAGACGCCUCACACAAACUAAUGUAAAUUCAGCCUCCACUUGAAGAGCGCAUCAAAGAUAGAAAUUUUUUAUUGUGAAUAUACUUACAGAGAGAAGCAGAGAGCAUAAGAACAAGCCGACUGCAACAUCACGACCAGAUAAGAUGGGACAACGCGUCAGAUAUUCACACAUUAAAAAUAUUGCUGGAGUCAUGACCACAUGACGAAAGUCUGAACAUGGAAAUAUCAGGGACCAAAGCCUCAGGAGAAACAAUGUCUUUGAAGCAGGCCAACAACUACUUUCUUCUUAAACGAAACAAGAGAGCAUGAAUUAGCAUAGUUUAGCACAACCAAUAACUUCACAGAAAGUAAAACUAUACCAUUCCAUUGUGGAUUACCUGGGUUCUUCACAGUCUCACAAAAUUUUGUUCUGGUGCGUAGUAUUCUCUCACGAGCACAGAUUGAAGCAAAAUACGGAGUCUCCAUGCUCAUCUCCAUCAACGGCUUAACCAGCAAAUUCAGUAAUUCCAAAUUUAGCGGUUUUUUAUUUGCCAAGGUGGCAAAAUAUUGCAAAAGUAAACCAUAAAACACCUGGAAAAUGAAAUAAAUGAGAAUGAGUGCCAAGAUGCAAUCUUUCGACCAAAUUAAAGGAGAGAUGCAAUCACAACAGAUGGAGUAUACCUUAAGUUACUUCACUUCUCCAUACAAAUGUUAAAUUCAAGUCAAGGUAUCUAAGUGGAAAGCGAUAAUGAAUAACACAUGUUUCACACAAAAUACAGUCAAACAUUCAUUGACACAAAAUAGAUGUGGCAAAAGUAACAUACUUGCAUUUUCUUCUUAUUUUCAGCUGCAAGCUUGAUUGCAUUGCUUGCCCGGAUUCGAUGGAUUAUCAAGGCAAUGUCAGCAUUAGAAAGAUUAUCCAAUAAUGCAUCCAACUCUUCCAUGCUUUUCGGAGCUUCAAUUAGGUAUGGGAGGUCUGACUGAGUUAAAGAUUGUUUAUUGGCUGGCAAUUUUUUGGCAUCUAAAGAUUUACCAUCACUCUUACUAGCUUGAACAGCAUCAUUUCUUUUCAACUUUUUCAGAUGUCUUUGCUCCACCUCUUUUUGAUCAGCAUCAUCAUCACCAUUUUCAUGUUCGUCAGAGUCUUCUUCUUCAUCAUCCAAGUCUAAGUCAAGAUUAUCAUCAUCACUUUGUUCCCACUCCUUAUUCAAUAGAUCUCUUUCCCCUUCACUAUCAUCUUCAUCAGAACCCUCAACACCAUCAUCUUCAGGACUUUCUGAACCCUCAGAAGAAUCAGAAUCAUCUCCUUCACUCUCAGAAUCACCAGCAUCUCUUCGUUCGAGAAUCUCAUCAACCCAACCCUUUUUAUUCCUUGGUUCUUCCUCGAGCGAGAAAGAAUCACCAAGAUCAUCUCCAGAUAUAGCUCUCAGCCUCAGGGUAGAUGGUUUCUCAGCAUCUUCAUUGUCUUCAUCACUAUAGUCAUCAGUGGGAUGCAUCCUUUUCUGCCUCUCUUCCUGAAUUGUGAAACUUGUCAGCAAUUAAGUUUACAACUUGAUAAUAAAAAGUACAAGCGAGACAAACAUUCAGCUAAUAAAUUAUCAACUUUAAUGACAUGGAAAUCCCAAGUUAAGUAUAGAUAAAUAAACAAAAACAUCUAUCCUGAAAUGACAUGUCACUAUGUACCAUAUUGGAAUCGAGUAAAUGAUAAAUGAACCAAAUUGAAACCCAAGAUGGCAACCUUUUAGAGCUUAAACAUAUAGCUUAUCCAGGGGCAUAAACCCAUAUAGCUUAUUAGAACAGUGAAGACAGUUCUUGGUGCACCAAUUUAUGCAUACUGCACUUGCCAACAACAAUCUACAAUUUACCAAUACAUGUUCUAAUACUAUAAGGAAGUUCAAUAAUAUCCACUAAUACAUAGCUGCAAGACAAAGGGAAUUUCAUGUUUGGUGGGUUAAGCUACUGUAGUCUAAUAAUAACAAGCAUCUAUAAAGAUAAGGCUGUUGGAUCUGCAGAUGAAACUUGCAUUCAAGCAAGCAUAUAAAUGAAUGAGAUACCUCCAAUUGUUCUAGUUGCUCCCUCUCUUCUUGUGCUAUCUCUUCAGGCGUCUUGGUCCUACUCGAGGGUUGAGCACGCCUUUCCAUUGCCAAUUCUCUUUCAAGUUUAUCAUAAGCGUCAGAUUUCUCCUGCCAAAGCCAGGAAACUAAUUUACUUACCCAAGUCUCAAAGUUAUGCAAGUUUAACAUGUUUAGUACAGCUGUACAGAACAAUAAAACUUUAUAAAAAUAAAAAUAAAAAUAAAAAAUCUAUUGAAAAUAUCAUACCUGCUCAGAAGUUCCAAAGAUCUGAGUAGCAGAAACCUCAUGCUUAAUGCUUUUGUCUAUAAGAGCUUUCGAGGCAAUUACAGAGGUAAACUUUUUGUCCAAUUCUUCCAUCAAAUCUUUGUUUUCAUCCUUCUCCUUCGACUUUUCAAACUGGGAAUAGAUGAGAAGAAUAAGGAAGGAAUCCAUAACUAAAUUAAAGACUUAGGAAAUUGAUGUAGCCACCACCACAAGCCAUUUCAAUGACAUAAACAAGUAAGAAUCCAAACCUUAUAAUUUUUGGACUUCAAUAUCAUCUCAGCAUAUCUUUCCUUGUCACUUUUAUGCCUCUGGUACAAAAACAACGAAACAAGCAUUGGCAUUUUUAUCGCUCUAAUGUUUCUACCGAUAAAUCUAUAAUCUACUGAAGAAAACAACUUUGCUGACAUAUUAACCUAAAAUAAUCUAGUAUUUCAAUAUAAUGCACCACAAACGAGAUAGCAUAAAAUUUCUCACAUUUUCAUUUCCGUCACUUAAAUCCCCGUCCUUAUCAUCAGAAUUAAAUUGAUAUCUUUCUGCAGAGAAGAAAAACGAGUAACGUUACUCCCAUUAACAUAGAUCAAAAGAACCAAUAACUAAAUCAUAAGCAGUUUCAGUAGCCAACUAGACAUGGAAAAUGAUCAUCAUACACAAAAUCACCAUAAAAAUGCUUACUUUUAGCAGUUUCUCCACCAUCAUCAUCUUCGUCAUCUUCCUGCGGCAUAUCAUCCUCAAAAUCAUCCCUCUGAGACAAUGCACCAAGACUCUGAAACUCAAACUCGUCGUCUUCGCCAUCUGACAAGUUAUACUUGCUCUUCUUGCUUUGCUUCAGCUAUCAAAAAAAACCAGUAAUGCCAACAAAUUCAGUCACAUUGGAGAUUAUCACUAACAUACACAUAGAUCAAAAUCAAAAUUCAAACUCACUUGACGCUCACGCUGGGUACGCCGAAUGGCCUUAUCAAACUCAUCAAGCUCAUCAUUUCCCUCUCCGAUUCGCUUAUCCACAAACACCGAAGAUUUACCGCUCUUCUCAUACUCCUUCAGCAAUGUCUUCUUCCUCUGUUUCACCAAAACCACAUUAAUUACCCAAAAAAAAAAAAAAAAAACAACCUAAAAUUUCAGAGCUUGAAUGAAACUUAGGGAUGAAUAAGUGUUGACCUUUUCGAUGGCCUGAGAGCGAGCAAGGCCGACACGGCGCUCUUCGCCUUUGCGCUUUUUGCCGAGGACGUCGAAUUUCCGCCGGGACCAAAUGGUCUCGAAGGGGUUGGGCUUCGGCGGCUGGACCUUCAUAGCCGCCGCUUUCGGUCCUAGUUUACUUUUCUUCUUCUUCUUCGUCUCCUUCGCGGUGCUGUUGUCGUCGGAGCGACUGAGCUUUGGCAAUUUGCCGGCGAAGGGGUUUGGUUUGGGGGACUGGUGCUUCAUGGAUGCGGCGCGUGGGCCGGACUUCAGCUUCGCCAUGGCUGAGAGAAGGUGGUGGUGGCCGUUGGUAGGGUUUAUGGAUGAAGAAGGAAAGGGGUAAGGGUUUUGCAGUGAGAUUUCUGAUUUUGGGAGUUGGGUCGGGUCGAUUCCGGUUUGGUUCGACUCGUUUUGGGCCCAAAGCUCCAACGGUAUUCGGCGUAUCCCACCUCAGUAUCAAGUACGUACUAUACUGUAUUCUAAAGUCUUAUCUUCCAAGAUACUUAUUGAUCGCCUAAAUGACAAGAUUAGACCUGUAAAUAGACCGGAUCUUGAUCCGGACCCGCUCUGGAUCCGUGGUUUUUAAACUGGUUUGGAUCGAAAAUUAGACCCGUUGAUCCGUUAAGGACUCGGAUCUGUUAACCCGUUUAUUAAACGGAUCGGAUACGGAUCGAGGUUGAUCCGAUCCGUUAAGGACCCGGAUCUGUUUUAAAAUAAUUAAAUAAUAUUUUUAUAAAUAUAAUAUUAUUAAAAAAUAUUAAAUAAUAUAAUAAUUAUUUGAAUAACCUAAACGUCUAAAGUAUAAUCAUUUGAUGAAGUUGAAGGUUACUGAUACCUAUGUUCUUUUUAUACACUUUGCUAAAUACAUUGGAGGUUUAGUAUUUUGAAUAUAUUAGUUUAUUGUUAAGGAGUAUUUUGGUCAUGUAAUUCAACUUUUGAUGUAAACUUUUAUUUUGUUAUAAUAUUUCAUUAGUGUUUUAUGAAAAUUUAUAAUAAAAUUAAGAAAUUAUUAUUUACAAAUUAAAAAUAUUUAUAAUUAUAAACGGAUCGGAUUAACGGGUCGGGUAUUCGUUAACCCGCCGGAUCCGGAUUUGGAUCUAGCUAUCAAAGAUCCGGCGGGUAACGGGUCGGAUCCGGAUCCAAAAUUUCUAUUACGGAUCCGGAUCCGGAUCUAGGUAGAUCCGCUCCAGAUCCGGUCCAUUUACAAGUAUAGACAAGAUCCGUUGUCCAAGAUACAUUGAAACUUUUGCUAGCCCACUCAGUUCCAUUCAGAAGGGAAUUGCUUACCUGAUGAUUAAGUGAAUAUGGGCAAUUAGUACAAUUCUCUACCGUUGUAGAUUGUCAUGUCUUAUCGUUUGAUAACGUUUCAAAUCGAUUAUUGUAAAAGUUUCAGUUUUUAAAUUUUUUGUUGUAAUCUUAAGCGGUCUUACCUGAUGAUUUAGUGAAUAUGGGUAAUUGAUACAAUGAUCUACUGUUGAGCAUCUCCAGCAGUAGAGUUAAAUUUAUUGCUAAAUUUGUCAACAUUUAGAUUUAAAAUAACAAUUUUUAAACUUUUGCUCCAGCAGUGUUGCUAAAUUAUAUACAUUAGCUAAGUUUUAGUUAAUUAUCUCCCCAAGAUUGAUAAAUUGAUCAAUUUUCUCCAUCAAUUUCUAAAUUUAUCAACUUCUUAAGCAUACUGCUGGAGCAAAUAUUCAUUUAAAAAUUGAUAAAUCUCUAAUUUUUUUUAAUUUAUCAAUACUGCUGGAGAUGUUCUAUCGUUUGCUAGUGUUCAAGUUAGUUGUUGUAGAAAUUUUAGAUUUUAAGUUUUUUGUUGUAAUCUUAAGCAGUCUUCCUAUUGUAAAACCAAACAAUUUAGAUUAUCAAAAUGGACUUGCAAAAGUCAGUAUUCAUGUAUUACUUAGUCACUUGAGCACUCGAGUCAUGACAAAAUAUUAUUUUUGACUAUCCAGCCUCAAUUAAAACUAUGAUUGUGGAGUUUGCAACUAAGUUUUUCAUGAUUAAAGAUUCUGACUGGACACAUUGUGAGCAAUUGGCAAACAAUAACAGAAGUGCUAUGAGUAUGAAUUAUAAGUCAUCACUAGUUAGCUAGAUUACCAUGGUUAGUGAGUGGAAAUCAGCAUAGACUUCAUUUGCAUCAUGACUCAUGAGAUGUAGAGAUGUAUAGAUUGCUAUAAAGUGGCAGAGAAUGAGGUUUAGUCCCCACUCCCCAGUGUCCUCCUAAUUCCUAACUAAGGGGGGUCAUGUCCCAGAAAUAUAUACUUAGGUUGGGUUUUAGGUCAUGUGUUAGCACCAUCUGCCUUUACACAUCGAACUACUACGGUACAGCAUCUAAAGAAAAUCAUGCAUGACCAUAAUCAAGGACCCCAUGUUGUCUCUUAAAGCAAUAAUAAUAGGCACCAAUGGGCAAUGGCAGCCUGAGUAAAGACAUGACACAUGAGUAACACUUAUCCAUUCACACAUUAUUAUUCACUAUUCAAUAUGCCUUUAUACAAAACCAAUUACACUAUCAUAUAAAUCUUGCUCAUAAGUCUAUGUCUGCCUGAUUAGUGCUGGUUUUACUAGGCCAAGAGCCAGAAAUCUUUCUGGCGCUUUGUAGUGAUCAAGUACCCUCCAACCUUCUUGCUUUUCCUCCUCACUGCAAUCGCCAUGCAACUGGCAUUCUGUAUACAGUACUCCACCACCCCGCCCCCGCCACCGACACGGUUGCUCCCCGCCCACAUCAUCAGCAGCCGCCACGUCGUAGACCUCUUCUUCUGUCCCAGAACCAGCAGUGACACCCCUUGCUUUUUGGCCUCUUCCACUAUUGUUGGCCCUUUCUCCUUUUUCCCUAAUUCCACCACUGCAACCUCAGUUUGUACCUAUCACCAACACUGAUCAUCAUCACGAAUUUACAUUAUAAAAGCAAUGACAUAAAGUUAUUACUGUCUUUUCUAUAAUGCCAUGUAAAUAAUCAUCAUUAAUCACCUUAUAAGAAGUAUCUCAUCAUUAUAUAUACACAAGACUAAACUGGAAAUUAUCAUAAAGACAAGCGAGUUUCAUAUGCCUAUUAAGGCACCCAACAUUAUACAUGUCAAUGAUGUCCUUCAACCACCCCCUUUAACAAAGUAGUAUUCUAAAUGAAAGAAGCAGUAUGCUUCAACCUCUGUUAUACUCUGCACACAAAGAUAGAUACGUACAUAUUGCUUACCCAGAACAAAUGUACUAAAUUUGCUACAGGAAAGAAGAAUUCUAGUUAAUUUUGGUUCAGUUGGUAGAUAGUAAGAUUAUUCCAGGGAAAAAACUGUUGUGCAGGGAAGAAAAACGUAAGUUAAAACUUGUACAUAUUGCAAUCGAUGAGCUCAAUACACACACCUCAGGUCUCUUCAGCUGGCACAUAUUCCUCAGAGAAUGAACAAGUUCAUAAGCCCUUGGAGCUAUAAUAUCCUCACCUGUAAUUGUAACGAAUGAUCAAAUUCGAAAACCACUUCUCUAAGCUGAAAGAUAAUCAUCAGAAGAAACUUAAAACUAAAAAGUUCUCAAACCUUGUUUUGAAGUUGAAGGUUUGGUUACAUGUAGCAGUACAAGCUUGUCCUGGUUCUGAACAGUGUGAGAAAGAGCCCAUUGCAGAGCUCCCUUGGCUUCAAUGCUCGAAUCAACCACAAUCAUGAUCUUCCUCGCAAAAACCACCCCGGAUUUUUUAGCCCCAUCUCCAUCUGUAACUUUCUCUUCUCCAGCAUUGCCACAAUUCUCAACUUUCCCACCAUUUUUAGUGAUCUCUGCAGCAUCUAGUUUCGACUGUAUCGGUGGAGAACGAACUCGAACAUGAGGCCUAAUCCUGUUGAGGCAGAAACUUGGCAACUUUGUGCCUAUCCUCCCCAUUUGUCCUCAGAUAGAAAUGAGACUACCUUGAUUGAGACUGAAACUAAGGACCAGAAAUUGUUAUAAAGAGGAGGGUUGAAGAAGGUCUGCAAUUUAUUCUAGAGAAGCUUAUAUGGGCCAUGCAUGUUUAUAUUUUGCUUUGCUCUUCUUCUUUUUUUUCCUUUUUAUCGAGGAGUAAUCAUGUUAGCUAGGGUCUUUGUUUCCUUUGUAUUUCUUCUUUUCUGCGCGGGAUGGGGCUAUGAACGUGGUUGUCAUGAAGCUGUAGGGCCAUUUCAGGACCAGCAGUAUUCACUUCAGAUAGUAAUCUGGCAUGUUACUGCAAUCAGUUUUCUUAAUAUUUCUUCCACGAACUUGUUCCUCGCAAAUUAGUUUUUAUGUUGUAGUGAGCAGAAACAAUCAUAUGCUUUUAUGUUGUAGAGAUCGAUCUCUAGUAAGAUGAGAAAUUGGUGAACAUCUAAGAUCGAUCUAACCGUAUUGAGAUUCGUAUUAAUUUUUCAGGACAUUAUUUGGAACAUUCUGCAUAGAUCGAUCUCAACUGAACACAACAUAUUAUCGCUUGCAAACUAUCACAACGUUUAAAUUUCAGCUCCAGGGCCCUUUACUCCUUCUAUUUGAGAUUAUGUUAGUACAUAAUUGUUAGGUUUUCGAAUCAGUAAUCCCAAAUGUGCUGGCAUCCUCUUGGGGCAAUUAUUAGUGCUGUAUGAUUGAAAUUUGGAUUAUGUAAUUUGGAACUUUGCAAAGGCUCGAUAUUAUCACUUGUUAAUUUUAUGCAUUUUAUAAAGAAGUAGCUUCGCUCAAACGCAACCAAAGUUAUCAUUUUACCAGUAAUCAACUCGAAUGAAAUCUAAUUAAUCAUGCUUGUUUACCACCUAAAAAUAUGUAAAUCAUUGACCAUAAAGCUCAACUGCAAUUUUGAUACGUACAAGUAAUUGGGUUUGCUUGUAUAGCGCACCGGCUUCUCACUCACUGUUGCAUCUGCUUCUCAAAUCAAAACCGAGACAACACGACAUAUAUAUAAGUUUGAUGCUUCUAAACAAUUUUGUUUGUUCAUUAAUUUGCACCAAAAAAGGGACGUGCCAAUAAACUCCAUUUUGACUUCCAAUCUCCAAAAGCAAAGCCAAUUUGAGAAAGAUGGAGGAUUUGCAUGUCUUAUGAUAACAAACCGCCCAACCAUGAUGCUCAUGUGAGUCAUGUCCUUCCAAUUCAAGACAAUUAUAUGCGAAAAAGUUGCCACUGCUAAAACCUAUAAGCAUAUCUCCUCAAAGUUGCCAACCAUGUUUAUACUUGAUAUGAUAUGUGGUGUAUGAACCAAUCCACAUAAACAUACAAUUUCUUAACUCAUCUCAUACUUGAUCUUACAAUGUCAAUGAGAUUUGAUCUUAUAACCUUUACGGUAUUAGUGAUCUUGCUAACCAACAAGCCACUACUUAUAGACAAUCAUAGAUCUGGUUGAACAAUCCUUAACUAUUAUGAGUAUUAUCGUCAAUAUUUAUUAUUAUUAUUAUUUUUUUAUUUUUUUGUAUAAAAGACUCUUGGAAGGUGGCUUGCAAAUGGGCCUGUUUAUUAACAUGCUCCGAGCAGGCUAUGUGAAUGAGCGCAAAGGCCCAUAUUAGAUAACAAUUCAUAUCCUACUUCUUACCCAAUUAGGAAAAGGACAAUAGUUAGUCUAAAGAGGAAAUCUAUAAAUACUUCUUGUUGCUGUUUCUCUGUUCCAUAGUUCUGCAGUGGUUGUUUGUUUGGGAUUUUGGUUCUUGGUGAAUUGAUCGAUCCACGUUCUGAAGUAAGUGAUGGGUUCUGUUUGUUGUUGUGGUCCUAAGAACGAUCCCAAAGAUGAUGAAGAAACUGUGCCUGUGUCAACAAGACCACAUAUAAUGGGGGAAGUCGUCGGAGAACUUGGUUACGUCUACGCUUCGUCGGAAGAGGAUGAAGAUGAAGGAAACGGCCGGAGAAACGAAUUACAGCAAUGGUGGAGCUGGAAUUACUGUAACGGAAAGCCGAACGCCCUGGACGAGAAUCUUCUGGCUAAUUAAGUACCAGAUUAGUUAACCUAAACGUUUGUAAACCAAGUUUAGUAAUUAAUCGUCUGAUAUAGGGUUUACUUACAACAUAGUGGUUCAAUAUCUGUGCGAUUUUUGCAACAACAGAAAAAAAAACCCAUUAUCUCCGGACCUGAAUAGUUUGGUCCGACGAAAUUAGAUCUUCUACUUUUCUUUCACAACUUUGAUGAUUACAUCAGUGAGAUUCUAGUUACGUAUCCUUUCCUUUUGCUAAAAGGAUUAUGUUCGAGUAUGGAAGUAGAGCUCGAGAUAAGAUUUCCACAGUUAAAAAGUAAAAACAGAAGAAACAUCAAGUAAAAAUGUUUUGGAGAAUCCACGAUAUCUUUUAGACCUUUAAUUCCGGAUUUCGGCGUAAAUCCUUACGCAACUCAAGUAAGGAUUCCCAAAACGAUACGAUUUUCGAAUUCAAUUGAUUCUAUGUUCAACCCUUUGUUAUAUCUCUCUUCUCUUCUAUUUUCUUUAAUUUAUUAAUUAAUAAAUAAGCGCCUUCAUUAGCUUCUAUCUCUUAAUUCACUCCUACUCGAUCUUUCUGCUUCUUCCGUUUUCUUUCCCAUCGUUUAAUAUUUCUGGGAUUCUUGGUAGUCAAGAGGAGGCCAUCGCAAUCUGCUCUGGUUUCAAAGUAUGUUUCUUAAAUCUCUAGCUCCACCUAUGUAUUGUGAUUUCAAUUCUUUUCGGAGUCUGGAAGAUUGGAACUCUGGGAUGUAUAUUAGCUUUAAUUUUUGUCUUGAGACUUUUCUUGUUCUAACAGUCAUCAUGCGUAUGAUUAUAUGAUGGUUUAUGUGAGAUUUUGAUCAUUGAUUAAAAUAGAAUGGUUUCCCCCUCUCCCCCUCUCUCUAUCUAUUUUUUCUUCUCCUGUGACGUAACUUUUUUUUUUGGACGAUUCGUGCCGAUUCGUGCAGGGUGUGACUGAAAGUUCAAAUAGAAGCUAGUUGAGGCGAUUUUCUUGAUGGGUUGUUUUUUCUCUUGCUUUGAUGUGAACGAUCCUUUGGAUAACACGCAGAAUGCUAACAAUGCCAAUGAUGGUAACCGGAUCAUCAUCCCUAAUUUGUACAACAAGGUACAUGUUUCAGAAUUUCCAUCACUUUUCAUUCCAUAUAGUCGACUAUAUAUGAGUGUGUGAUAACCCUAACAAGUUUGAUGUUAAGCAGAUUGCGUCCGUUAACGAGGUAGCUCUUGGAAGUAUACAAUGUGAGACUGGCAGGGAUGCUGCCACUGCUACUGCUAUUAUCCGAUCCCUUCCUGGUGAUCCCUUUCUUAUUGAAAAGGAGAUUGGAGGACAACGUUACCUUUACCCUUCGUCGAUAGAAGAGGAAGAAUGCCCUACAUGUCUUGAAGGUGAGUAUUGCUCUUAAAAUCUGUUUAUAGCGAUACAUUUUCACUUUGAUUUGGUUUUCUAGCUAAUUAGAUACGCUGAAUGUAUGCUGAGGCUCCUUGAUUCAAAAUUUCUGCAGAAUAUACACCUGACAAUCCAAAGAUAAAAACAAAGUGUUGUCACCAUUUCCACCUUGCUUGUAUAUAUGAAUGGUUGGAGAGAAAGCAAACUUGUCCAGUUUGCAGCCAGGUAACCAAUUUCUCUAGCUAGCUUAAUACUGUUUAUAACAUGAUAUUUAUAGAACUUCCUUCAAAUUGAUUAAUAUAUGAAUUCUUACACGGCUCAACGCAAAGGCGAAAAUUUAAUCAUGAAAUUGUGGUCUUAUCACAUACUAAAUAGAGAUUUGAAAAGGAUACCAGAGAAGAACAUACAUGGAGAUUUGAAAUUAAUGUACAAAUAGAAUACUGGUGCUGUGAAAACUAGAAAACUAGAACUAUGUAAGGCACACUUCCGGUGAAAGUAUUAGCCAAUGUACUGGGAGAUAAUAGUUGUGGUGUGUUUGUAAUAAAAUAGCUACAAGAGUACUACUUAAUUCGUCCUGAACCUGACCAACUGCAAAUUCUUUUUGUAGGUGAUGUCAUUCAAUGAUCUCUGAGAACACACAACUGCAACAGCUAGCUAGCGAAGUAGAAACAUUCCUAUAUAAACGCAGAAGAGGAUAUUGGUCAAGCAAUCAAAUUAAAUUUCAAGGAUUGAGAGAAGCCUUUUAAAUGAUCUGUAAUGUAUUGUUCCAAUUCUUCAAGAGUGAAGCUGUAAAUGCAAUAAUUCUGGGCUUAAAUUUAUAUUUCAGUGGGAAUCAUACACCAAUUCCAUAUAUAAAUGAUGGCAAUCCCAUUCAAAUUCCACAUCUCGUUAGCGAUUUUGUUUUUCUAGUCUUUCUUUCAUGAUAGUAACUUGGUAACUUGUGUGCAUACUUAUCUUAGAUUUCUUUCCUACUUACCCUUUGACAUUAUUUGCUAAAUUAGACAACUCUAGGUAUACACCUUAUAUAUUAGAAAAGCCCAGACCUCAAUCAGUUUGCUUAAAUAAACAGGAAGACUCUGUCUCACAAAUCUACAAGUACUUUGUUAAAACAAUUUUCUUAAAAUUACUGCACAAUAUACGUAGAAAUUUAUAGGAAAUUUCCAUCAAGUUCACUAAUUAAGAUACAGUGAAUUUUUUUCAAGCCGCAUAAAGUUUGGCAAUAUAUAAUAUUUUGAUAACAUCAAGAGAGCUAGAGAUCGAAGUAGAGAAUUGUAGCAAAACCCAAUAAUCUUCAGUAUAUAUACUGAUCGAUCACAUUGGAUGUCUUAAAUCCACCGCUCACCAAUCAAGCUUACAUUAUACCACAAUAUCUGGUGAAGCACUACUAUAUAGAGCGAGUAUAUAACCUUAACCUUAUGCUACUAGUGCACUUAGGGAUUAAUAUUACUUGGUGAUGAUAUUCAUGAAGCAAAGCAUCCAAGGUGGCAUGAAUACAACGAUGGCUCGAGAGUAAGGUCGAGCUGGUUCCUCCUCACCUGAAGGAACUGAUCAUUUUGCUGAGUGCCCCUGCAUAUAUCAUAAGUUCAUAACCAUAUACCGUAUUAUACUAAGGCCCAAGUAUUUUAUAAUUUAAGUAUGAAGUAUGGUACGUAAUAGGAUCUUACCCCAUGUUCAAACAUGGAAUUGGACCCUGUGCUAGCAGGUUAAGGCCAUGGUUUUGCUGCUGCUGCUCCCAGUCAUGAACCUCCUGAGCUUCCGCUACAUUCUUCUCGUGCUCCUUAAUCUAUAUUAAUAAUGUUGAUUAAUUUAUGAAAGCAGAACCUAAUGAGAAGAAGAGCCGUGCAUUAUCACAUAAAUUAGAAAAGACAUUGCUAGCAUAUAUGAAAAUGACCUUCUUUGAAAGCAAGUUGUUCUGCUCCUUGAUUGCCUUCUCCUGUUACAGUGAGGAACAAAAAGAAAGAAUUUAUGAUGAUCAGAUUUUGAGACUGCAAGUAAAUGGAUACACACAUACAUGUGUACACCUUACAAAUCAAGUAUAAUUGCAUGUCCUCGCCUUUCACAGACCAAUGAACCAAAACUCUACUAUAAUUGACUUGUACGAAUCAAAAUUCUUAACUAGUUACCAAGAAUCUCACACAAAGUGACCAAAAAAAAAAAAGAAUCUCACACAAAGUGACAAAACAAACAAUUGCUUAUUAUAAAGUUUAGUAUGUUAAUAAAUAGUUAGUGUGCAAAAUGGCCAUGGCCGAACCUUCCUCUGUAGCUCAGAGAUCGACUCAUGCAUGAGUUGGUUCUGCAAGAAAUCAAAAUAUAUAUAUUAGCACUAGAUCAAACUAGCUGCAGACUAUCACUAAUCAACCCAGCUAGCAUACUUUUUAUCAAAAAAAAAAACCAGCUAGCAUACUUUUCUUGAUCGAAUUUGCUUAAGAGCAGUUUCAAGCUGUUGCUCCAAACUUUGGAUCUCUUUGAUACUCAAUGAAUCCAGAUCUUCUCCCAAAUAGUGCCUGCAGUUUGAUUGGUUUAAGCAAAGAAUCAAGAUGAAUCAAUCAAUUCAGGACAGAAUCAUUCUGGGGCAAGUUAUUACGAGAGUAGUGAAGCAGCCAUCUAUAUAUACCUUAGGUUUCUCUGCAGAAGCUCAACUUUCACCUUCAGCCUAGCAUGUUCGAAGGGCCAGUUACCCUGCAUUAAGUACCAAGUGACCUAAUUGAUCAGUAUAUAUAUAUAAUAUAUGAAGAACCACAGUCAAGUGACGGGAAAAUGGAAAGUACCUGUGAAUCAAAAUCAGGUUCCACUAGCUGUCUCUCUGCAUAUGAGUACCUCUCAUAGCGUUCAAGUAUAUCCUCCAUGCUGCACAGCCAAAACGGAGCUUGACCAAUAUAUCUAACAUGAUGCACUUAACUUAUAUAUGCAACCAAGAGAGCUAAAUCUUCAAGGGUCUAUCUGUACUUAACCGUAUUAAGGAUAGGAGGAGUUUCUCAAGAGUUUCAUGAAAGCAUACAUCAGAUUGUUGUAUGAAUUAAACCAUUAAAGGCUUUAUGCUAAGGCAUUUUACAAUUUUUACUAAUUCCAUCAAACAAAAAAUUACAUCUUACUGGCCCCCAUUAGGAUAUUACUGAUAGUUUAAUCACAUACUAUUUCUAUAUAUAUAUAUAUAUAUAUAUAUGCACAGUUUCUUGAGAGAUAUUUGAGCUUUACUUGUUUGAAACUAAAUAAUUAACUAAAUAAUGCAAACAAUGAGACUUCUUGUGUCUUUACUACUUGUUUGAGAAAACAUUGCAUGAUGCCCUAGCUACAAAAUUACAUGUUUCGAGUUGGACUAACAAUGGAAGAAAUUAAGUACUGAAAGAGCUGGUAUAUAUACUAGCGUUGCAUACUUUUUAUUCUUUAGAUUUUGCUUAUUUAAACUCAGAAAAACGUUACAAAAAUAUUACAGAUAUCAGUAAAUUACAGAGCUUUAGAUUUGUACACCAAAAAGUCCAGGAAUUCAGAUUGCAUCAUUUUUUUUUAACUUUUGACUGUGUUGUCCUCUCUUCUUUUAAAGACAUGUGUGAUAAUGGAAUAUUCCAUCCAGGUUUUCUACACCUCUUCCGCACUUCUUCAUUAAUCCUUCAUAAUAUUUUCUGUGUUGCUAGAAAAAAAAUUCAGUUUCUUUUUCUUAAUUUGCAUAUUAUAAAAUCAGAACAGUUUGAAAUCAGCUCUGGAAUCAAGUCAUCAACUCCAGAGUUAAGUUUAUAAAGAUGUAAAUUAGUAGAUUUUUCACAGGAUGCUGCACAUCAACCCAAACCCAGGUCAUCUAUGCUUAAGUAUCCCCAAAAGCAGAUGAAGUACUGAUAAAUCUCACAUAAAGAUUUUUCAUCUAGGUCAUUAAGCUCUACUUUAUAUCAAAUCAAGCACUCUUAACCAUUAGAUCGAUCCCAGCUAGCUUGCAUCCACUUGAUUAAUUAGCUGCUUUAAUAAGAACUUGGUCUUAAUGUUUUCUUUGUUGAACAAUAAGAAGUUCUUAUUAUUAAGCACCAAAAUAUUUGCAUAAUAUUAAUAUUAAUCUCUAAGCUUGGAUUUAAAAAGACAGAUAAGAAAAAUAUAACAAAGGAGCAGAAGGAGGAGAAGAUGAAGAAGAAGAAGGAGGAGGAGGAGGAGGAGAAGAAGAAGAAGAAGAAGAAGAAGAUCGAGGGUGGCUAGCUAGGUUAUGAGAGAGAUGAGUAGUACCAUGAAUCAGUUGCGUAUUCAAAGAGCUUCCCUUUGUUAGAGAAGACAAUCAAAGCAACCUGAGCAUCGCACAUGACAGAGAUCUCAUGCGCCUUCUUCAGCAACCCAGUUCUUCGUUUCGAAAACGUCACCUGCCUGUUGAUCUUGUUCUCUAUCCUCUUCAGCUGAACCCUACCCCUUCCCAUAUUGAUGAUAAAUAUUUCUACCUGAAUCAAUGACUACUUUCCUUUUCUAUUUCGAUCUUUCAGAUAAACACCCAAACAAGGUAAAGCCCCCAAAAAAAGAAAGACAACCUGAAACUAGAGAGGAAAAUUUAAUGGGUUGUUUCUUCUUCUAGCUUAGCCAUAUCUGAGAGGUUUGUCUGAGGAAAAAAAGUAAUGUGCAUAGUGUAUAUAUGGAAAAGGAAAAUAGGGGAAUUUAGGAUUUUAUUUAUUUAUUGGAAGCUUAAAAGCGGUUUUAAGAGGGUAGGGGUGGUUUUUGUGGAAAAUAAAAAAACCGGUGUGGCUUUAAGGAUGCGCUGUCCACUCCCCAUCGGAUAGUAGUACUAUGUGGUCGCUUCCCUGCGAAAUUGACAACUCGCACAUCAGUUCUGUGUAUGUUAUUGCUUUGGUUAACUAAGUACAGUAAAAGUAAUUAUUACAGCAAGGCCAUAUUUGGGACUUGGAAGGAUUUAAGUACUGAUCUAUCUGAUUAGUUAAUUUGUUGUUCAUCUUAUACUAUUGCAUUUGCAUGUUAGGAGAUGGGUCAUUUGUACUACGGGUGCAUGUCUGUUUUUGGUGAUGUUGAUUUAUCUGUUAAGAUAUUUAUUUUUCAUUAACCGACAAACUUUUACAUUAAACUAUCGUGUUCGACUUUAAAAAAAAUAAAUAUAAAAUAAAAAAAAUAAAAAAAUUAUAGUGUUCAAUACCACCGAAUGAAUUAACAUUUUACUAAGAAAUUAAAAUUUACACUCGUUUUACAAUUCACACUUGUGAUUUCUGUUGUAGUAAGUUUAAUUUUAUCUUUAGUAACAUGUGUACGUUUUAUCUAUUUAUAAAAGUCUUAACCAAUAAAAAGAAAGAAAAAUGUAUGUAGACCGGAAAAUUAAGUGUGCGGAUUUCAGUUUCCUGGCAAAAUAUUUGUAUAUUGUGCUUAUUAUUGUUUUUGUUAUGUGAUCCGGGUUUUUUCCUUUUUUUUAUCAAGUAAAUAACUUAAAUAUUACAACUUCGUGAGUCGAACUCAUAAUCUCUUACAUACUAAGGGGAGACUAUACCGUUAAACCAAAUAAUAUUGGACGAGGUUUUUUCCCCUUGUGUUGAAGGAAAUAAUCAUUUUCAUUUUUCAAUAUAUUCAUUGAAUAACUCCUAAGAAAAGUCAUGUGGAAGUAUUGAAUUGCCUUCCAAGCAGGUGUGGGGGUCUGUGGGAUAUAUGCAAUUUUAGUGAUUCAUGUCCCUAGUCCAUGUAUGGUAACCCUAUAAAUUAAACAGUAAACAUCGUAUAUGUCCGACCUACCGACAAUAUAUAAGGGAUUGGCCUACGUCUUGAACCCUCCAACCCAAAUUUAGAAAUCCAGCUACUUAAUUCACAAAACCUUAUCUCUUUAAUUAGGAAUUCUUGUCCCCAAGGUUAUGUAGCCACUCAAAUAUAACCAAGAACAUGCAUGAUGUGCGUCAAUAAUGUCUCAUAGUACAGGAGUUGGAUACCUUAUUUGUAUAUGAAUUGAAUUCUUUCCUAUGAUUUGGUUAUGUAUAUAUGAGAAUUAGUUUAUUUCUUUUUCGAAAUCUGAAAAGAUGAUGUCUUUGUUAUCUUGGCAUAAAUUGACAUUUCUCAGUGAAAAGAAGGAGGAGAUCGAGUAUCAUAUUGGGUAUUCAAUUGAACACCACCACCACUAUAGUUCACUAUCGACCAUAUUAGACAGCUCAAAGACUUCAAAGCAUCCAUGCAUUAUGAUUUAUGAGACAAAUCCGCAACGAGUCUAGGUUGAGACUGCUACAUUGUUCGAGUGAUCACGAUUGUAGCUGUGAUUAAAUCCAGAUAGAACACAAAUACAAACGGAGAUCGAGUAGUUUGAUCAUUCUUGAUUAUGAAACCGCAUAAUUAAGAUUUAUAGUUACCCUAUCGAUCUGCAGUGUUUAGUUGUUGCAUUGUAAACGCUCAAAGAAACCUUGAGCUGAUUGAGCAGUAGAUGGGUGGCCAUUUGGUAUACUUGGCUGAUUUGCUUUUAUUGAACCUCGUUGAAGACCUUCAUUACUCUCUUCCAACUGUGACCAACAUGAAGCAGAUUCAGAAUUAAAAUACAUUAAUAAAUCUACAUUCAAGUACAAGGUUCUGGCCAUAUAGAUAUAAAUAUAUACCUUCAUUCUCAAUUCAUCGUUUGCUUCCAGCAGCAGCUUUUCCUGCAGAUGAAAUUCUUGAAAGACUUACAUAGGUAACAUAACAGUCACACCUAGAUUCAUAUAUCGACCAAUGAUAACGUACAUAUUAAAGUAAUGUUAGGUGAAUUACUAAUUUCGAUCCCACCUAAAUUCUACCUUAUGUGACAAACAUCAAUGAAUGAAAUACUUUGAUAUGGUGAAUUGGUGAUUACAUUUUCUGCCACAUAUACAUGAAAUCGAGUUUUAUUAAUAUGGUUCAUCUAGUAUUAUGCAAAAGGUUAAGAUCAAUAUAUAUACCUUCUUUUGAAGAUCGGAAAGCUGUUCAAGUAUAUUUUGGCUCUGCAAUCAAAUAAGGGUAAUUAACUUGGAUAAAGUAUUUAUGUAGCUAGAUAUAGUGUCUUAGAAUGAUAUAUGGUUUCCAAGUAGCCAAACCAAAAACUUCGUUUUUGACGAUAACAACCACAAGGGCAGAAGAUAUACAAUCAACCUGGUUAACAAUUGAAACUCCAAACUCCCCAAUCGGUGGAAGAAUUCAGAUAUAUUCCACAAAAGUAAAUAAAUCAAUAUAAGCUACAGAUAUGAAAUUACCCCCGGUCACUUAGAAACUGAUGAAAUCCUUAAACAAUACGAUGCAAAGCUUAAAUGGCUUCACAAAAAUAACUGUUAUAUGCAACUAGAUUAGCCAUCCACAACUACUAUAUCCCGUAGUUAGGAAACAAAAGUGGAUACCUGUCUUGACCUAACUCGCUUCAACGACAAAUCUAGUUCAUUCUCAAGCUGCUGAAGCUCCUCUAUGUCUAAAUGUUCCAAAUUUUCCCCAUCAAGACGUCUAAGAACACGAAGUGAAAAUCCACAUAUAAGUAUUCAUUCCCAGUGAUUUUUCAUGUGAUCUAUCACUUAGGUACAUAUCAAUAAGGUGCAUAAUUAUGUGAAGAGUGUUCUAGUUUCAAAUUCUGUUGACAGAAUGCAUGUAUACAUGAGUCCUGGCUACAUCUAGAGUUCAAAUCUAUGAUCACUUUGGUAUCUUAAUCGAACUACCUCUGCGUGCGUUGUAGGACCUCUACUUUCGCUUUUAGGUUCUCAUAUUCUUCGUAUCUGCUCUGCUAGAUAACAUGAAAGCAGUUCUAUCAACAAUCAACAAGAGCAUAAAUAGGACUUGGUGUGUGGAGGAAAAUUUCAUUACCAACAUACAGCUAACAGAGAUAGCUAGAGAGGUUUUGUAUUUGUUAAGUAAGAAGAAGAUUUGGAAAAUAGGCAAGUGCUAAUUCGUAUAACCUAGCUAGCUAAUUAACCUGUGUAUCCUGAGCAGGUUGAGCAGCUUCCAGUUCUGCAUAAGUGUAUCUUUGAUAUUUCUCAAUUGUCUUCUCCAUGCUGAUAAUGAAAUUGGACAGAAAAUUAAACCACCAACAAUUGCAAUUAGAAUGAGGGCAUGCAGGAAAGUAAAUUAAUUAAGGAACAAACGGGUUGUUCAAAUUAGGUUAAUAAUCCGUAAAGUUGACAUCCUUGUGCUUUGUUGUAAACCACCAACAAAUGCCCUCAUUCAAAUAAUUAAAUAUGAUUAUAGUCAUAGUGAUCUAACAAAGAAAUAAUGUUGGCAUUCUCUCAUUGUUCACUUACAAAUGAUGGAUACUAGUAAAUAAAUCAUGGGAGGUCAAUUUAAUUUACACAUAAUUAGUUCGUGUAUAACAAAUUAAAAGCUACUAAUUUUGAUCAAGUUCUAAAUUCAAAUCCAAAAUUAACUAGAUUUGCAACAAGGAUUACUCGAUCUACACCCAAUUAAGUUAAACCACACUAGUUACCCCAUAUAUCAAAGAGGAUGUACAGUAAAUCAUUUGUAACAUAUGAUUUGAACGCUUGCAAGUGCCAUGCCAGUAUACAAAAAAGUACCUGAAUAGCCUGACAACCCUCACAAGUCACAAGUCACAACAGAAGUACUAUAGCUAACUGUAUAUAGAUACUUGUUUUUGCAGUAAGUUAGCAAGCUAGGAGUCAAAAACUUGCAUAUAUAUAAUUAUAUAUGAUGAGUUUAUUUAUUUUACUAAUUAUAUUUCUAGUUUUCUACAUGGGUGUGUAGUAUAUAUGUAUCUACCACUGGACUGAUCUCACAUCAGGUCAAAAGAAAAGAGAGAUUAACGUAGCUCCUUCAGAAGAAAUGAUCAUAAUUAAGCUUAAUGUAUAGGGUGACCAAAUCGAUCAAAAUCCAUUUCCCUAAACAAAUGUGCUGAAUUUCUUCUUGGGUACAGCAACUGAGCAAAGGAAAUUGAAACUCCUCACCUAUGACUCAUAGUAGGCUCAUACAUAUAUUUCUCAUGUAAAAUGAAAAAUGAAAAACCCAUCUCCAAAAUCAAAAGCAAACGAUCGAUUUCCCUAUUACAAUAAUAGACCACCCUUAAUCCUGAAGAGCUAGCAAGAUUAAUAUUAAUCCUCAGAUGUAAGUAUGUACUUAUAUAGAUUAAACUAUUAGGGGGGAGGACAGCAGAUCGAUGUGAAGCUGUAAAUACUGGUACCUGGGGCCGCUGCAGAACUCAUAGAGCUUGCCACGGCUGGAGAAGAUGAUGAGAGCAACCUCUGCAUCACAGAGAAUGGAGAGCUCACACGCCUUCUUCAGCAACCCGUUCCUUCUCUUGGCAAAUGUUACUUGCCGAUUUAUCUUGUUCUCGAUCCUCUUCAGCUCCACCUUCCCUCUUCCCAUUUCGACGAUGAUCAACAGCUACUGCUUUAGCUAGCUUCUAAUAUUUUAUUAUCUAUAAUAUACUAUUUGACAUGGUACUAGGUUUUAGUUUUCGCUUAAUAUAUUCUUCUUCUCUGAGGGUUAAGAUAAUAAAGAGCAGAAUAAGACGUUAGAAUUAUACGUACGUACGGUCUUCACCGGAAAAUCUACGGUCUUAUGCUGGGCACGUUAUCAACAAUUUACAAUAUCUGACGAUUCUAAACUCUGAAAGCGUAUUAUACAGGUCCAUCAUACAGCUCCCGGCCAGUUUUCUCUUCCGGUUCAAUACUGACGAAGAUUGGUCACUUUUGUCUCUCCUUUUCAGUCUCUUUAUUAAAACGAGAAUCAUUAUUGUCUGCAGCUGCUUAUUACUACAAAUAUGACAGCUAGCGGUGUCAACUCCGACUGCACAUUCCCAGCUUUAGGGUUUUUACGUGUCGAUCAGACAUAGCAUUGGGGAAGCUCGGGACCUUGGUGCAUGUACUUUUGUGUAUCCAGACGAUUUUGCCCCUGCGUUUACAGUUCAAGCACGCCUGCAGACUGCAGUUCAACAAUUGUUCCCCUUACAAAAGAGAGUAGAAGCAUAUAUGCUUUUCCAAUCUUUUAGUUGGUUGUGUUUCUUUUGGUGGGUACGUGUUGAGUCUUGGCGAGAAUGAGGAGGAUAAUAUCCUGGACGAAAUUGGUGAAUAAAUCUCGUUGCUCCGGUGAGUAAACGUACGAUUUUACCUUAGGUAAACCAUGUAGGACAAAUCAAUGUUGUUGUAUAGUAGUGCAGUGAAAAACAAUGGGAUAGACCAUCAAUGUGGUACUAAUUUAAUUACUUGUCCUCGAUCGACGAUGUGGGUUUCAUCCUAAAAACCUCCAUGUAAGAAACAGGGUAUCUGUUUAUAGUCCUAUAUUGCAACUAAUGGGAUCUCCAAUUAUCAAAUGGAAACUGAGACGGAGUUUACGUACCCUGCUGCUUCUGGAAAAGUAGGCAAUGAUCAUUCACAUCCCAACUUCGUAGUAGUACACACUAGUAUGUAUACCUCUACGCAUAUACGUAUAAGUAUGGCAGUGUGUACGGACUUGUUAGGGUCGGGUAUUUGACCGCCGGUAAUACGCUUGUGAUGUGAUUGGUUGAUAGGUAAAGAAGCUUGCGUGUUGACGAGUCAAGACGCGAUUGAGGAGGAUACGCUGGCUACGUGUCGAUUGCUAACCGCUUCGAACAGUGGCUCGUUAUGAUUGGGCCUAGGCCCAAAACAAAAGCCCGAAAAUUGAAAGGUUUUCGUUCUUCUUGCCCUACUUCCUCUCAUGCAUAAUUGACGCAUGAUAUGGAGUUAUGGUCUUAUGGACGAUUCGAUCUUUUUUCUUUCAUUUUGGGAGCAAAUUUUAUGAGCCAUGUUAACCUCAAUGAUGAGAUUGAUCAGGUUAGUGUUCUUGUGUUUUUUUUUUUUUUUUAAUGUUUCUGGUUGGGCGUUUUCACCUAGUUAGAAUGUGCAACAAAGCCGCUCCAUCAUAAUGUGUAGUGGCGGAGCUACUUGAAGACCGAAGGGAGACAAUUCAAUUUACUCGCAUGUUUAGUCGAUAAUUGACGGAUGUGAUGUGCUAAUUUUAACAUCAAAAGGAUGAGGUUUUGAAAAUUAUUGCAAUGUCUAUAUAUGAAGAAGAUGUGUUAUCGUUUUCACGGAAACACAUGAGGACCCAAAACAAGGAGGAGACCAGAGUUGUGUUCUCUUUUGGAACAUCUUUUGGAACAACACUGGAGCGAGCAAUGACUUCCAUGCAGCUUGAAAAAACAGGAAUGCGAUAUAUAGCUACCAAAGAAUUUUCUGUGAUAGCUAAAGGAUCGAGCACUAUAAGUGUAGCUAAUAUAGCCACGUCUAAUGUAGCCACUACAAAUACUUUGAUUGGUUCGAUUCCAGACAAAGAAUGAGAGAACUCAAAAGAUAAAUGUUCCCAAUUUCUCAUUGAUCAUAUUAUAAGAUAAAUGUUCAUUCCUCUGCAGUAGGAUUCAAGUUGUUAUUAUUAGGAUUGGAAAAAAUGCAUGCAUGUAUAUCCACUCUUAUCUUAUCUAGAUCGCAUUUUUGCUUCUCUUUAGCGGAGAAUAUAUAGCUGGUAAGCUAGCCCAGAGAUCAUUGAUUGAGAACACAUACUCCCUACCCAGAUUUAUACUCGAGGACUGAGGAUAUUGCUUGCCAGCAAUUUGGUACACUCAUUUAGAUCGACAUUGUGGCCUAUAUAUAUAUUGGGUGAGAGUUGAGACUUGGCUAGGGGACAUCUUAGAGGUCCUGGUCCAUACUGUCUUUGCAAUCACAAAAGAAGUUGGGGCCGUUGUUCCCCCAGUCUCAUAGGCUGAGCCGCGGAGGGGGUUAUCUUCAUAUUCUUAACAUCGAGAGCCUACACAGAAUUAGGGUUCUUCAAUUUGGUGCAUGCAUAUACUUAACACAGUUCACAUCUACUGUUGAUCUUAUUGUAUGUUGUACCAAUAAAUUUCCAACCAAUUAAUCCGAUUUAUUGUCACCGAUCAAUAAUGAAGAGAUCAUCAAAGGAUUCAUGAAUCCGACCAUCGAAGAUGAUUAUGAUCGAUCGAAUGGAGCCGGAGGCAUCAGUACGUUGUUAAUUAACAAAACUGAACACAAUAUCGAUCGAAUUUGUUUACAGAAACACUUACAAAGAGAAUCUGUAGGACCAAUUACAUAUUAAUCAUUAUCGAAGGUUUAUCAUUAAGAUAGAGGAAAUAUCUGAUGAUGCGACUAACGUUCACCAUUCGACAAUCCCAGAUCGGCAGAAGUUUAUAUACAUGCAUUAGCUAGAUCGGAAAGACAUGGACGAAAUUAACAAAAUAGUUGUACUGAAAAGGGCAAGUGGAGAGAUGGGACUGAUGGGAAAACGAAGACCAUGGAAGGUAACUUUAGGAAUGCAUGGUGCACAACGAAAGAAAGCUACUGAACAUGUUGAAGAUAAAUCUAACAUGAUUGUACAGGAUUAGCUAAGAGACUAAAUAUGCAGACGCAGCAAUCCUUUGGCAAAAUGUGAGUGAGUGGCGACAAGCAUAUAGGCAUGUUUAUCGUUUCAGACAUUUGAUGCAGCACCUUUGGAUCGUAAGUAGUGGACCUUAGAUAUGGGGCAGUAUAUGGAUUCAAGUUCGAUCAUCCGGAAAUUAAAUUGUCUGUGAUUUUGAUCCUUGUUGGCCUAAUUAACUAGGGCUUGUUUUGGCAAAUAAUGAUUGAUAUAUAGCUAGGGAAUGAUUAAUAGCUGCAUCAAGGUGAUGAACCUACGUCCAACAAGAUAAGAAAGAACAAGCUAGAGGAGUUCAUUAUCCUUUUGAUUCAUUGGGGUAAUGAUUUAUAGCCAUUGCCUUAUACUUUUGCGACCAUUGGUUUUAAUAGGGUAAACACCCUCGGGCAAGUUCUGUCAUGGUGCCUAUCAGAUAAUGCUCCUUUUUUCUUCCUUCUGGCUAAUACAUGCAUAUUAUUGAACUGAGUCUUGUUACAUGGAUAAUUAAACAAGCGUUCAUUACUAACGAAGAACUAAUAUCGCCUUUUCCUAAUUCAUUUCGGCUUAAACCAACGGCAAACCGCAAACCAUUGCCCUAUUUCUGCUACACAUCAAGAUCAUCUUAGGAAUGUUGAAAAUCUUCUUCGGUAAUGAAUAAAUCGCAGUUGGUCGUAAAUGAUGGAUACUGACAUCAUGCUCAUGAACAGUCUAAGCCUUCAACAUACGAGUGUUCACAACCAAACGCACGUACGUACUGCUGGGUACCCCCAAACAGGCAAACAUCAAGGAAUGGGGGAUUGCCGUUGUGCGGUGUUUUUAUGGGCCAAGUCAUAGACUAAAACCGAAGGAGUUCAAAAGGAGAAAAAGAAAAAUAUAUGAAAGCUGCUCAUGUCUAGCUCUUUACGUAUCAAAAGGCUACUCCACAAUCCUACUUUUCUCAUUUGUGGGACUUUGACAAUAGAUUACACGCCACAAUGCAUUUUCCUUGUGUUUUUGCUUAUUUGCUUUAGUUUCUUUGGAUUAAUUGUAGACUUCAACGUAAUUAGAGUAGUCUCCGGACUUCUCUAAGCUUGACCUAGUAUGGUCGUUUUGAUUAAUAUCAAUGGAGUAAUUCCGUUAAACGUCAUACCAAAAAAAAAAAAAA
rnacentral:lncRNA from 1 species